AAGGUGGACAGCGGGAGGAGGUAAGAGGGAUUAACAUAAAUGAGGAGGCACAGGCUACAGAUGGUACUGGCAGGGCAAAUGUCACAGGAGUUGAGGACCUGGGCAGCUUCCAUUUGGAUGUUGAUCCGACCGAGGAUAUACUAGGGAAUCUGGGAAAUUUACACAACUUGCCGUUCUUGAGGGUGGAUAAUCUUGGGAGGAUGCUGUAAUUGUUGCCGUUGCUUGUCAUGGUGCUGAAGACCUGAAGUAUUGUAUGAUUAGUUGGGUUGGAACAGAUGCUCCAAGGACUGCCUUUACCUUGUUGUAGUUCUUGUUAUUGUGCUAUUAUCUCAUCUUGCAGUGGUAGUGUACUUUGUUGUAGUUUGCUAGCAAUGGAGUCGUUUGAUUCAGGCUGCCACAGAAGUACUCUGUGACUUUGUGGUAUCUCCAAAUUUGUCAGGAUACGUGCUCUUGUCUUUGGCAGACAAACUUGUAGGUAUUUCUUGUAAUGGAAAUAAUGUUUCGUAGAUCAAGUGUUGUUUGAUUGGUUAUGCAUGUCAUGCCACUUUGGUUCUUCAAAGGGUCCAUGGUGACUCGAGAAGUUUCUAAGAGCAACUUAUCAAGUAAGUGAAGCUGGCUCCUCUUGUUGAAUACAUAGACCUUUUUUUUUUGCAAAGGCAUAUAUUAGCUACGAUAAUGAUUUACUUGGCAAUACCAAGUUUGUCAUUCUACUAUGAAGUUGAUAAUUAAAUGAUUUUAAUAUGCUUAAAUAGGAUUUCAUGCAGUAGGUAAUUACCUCUAUUCCUUAUGCUAUUUAUUUUGGUUCAUUAUGAUCACAUAAUUGUUAUUAGGAAAUAUGGGAUUAAUUCAUGUAAUCAGUAUGUGAUCAAGUUUAUUGUUACAUAAGUUAUGUACAAAAGGUGCAUUGGCCGAAACCUAUCCAACUACUAAGAUGUCUUUACUCUCAACUUAUCAAAAUUCCAUAAUACUUGGUCUCUUACAAAAUAGGCAUCAUAAUCAUCUAGUGUUACAGUGUUCGCCUUGUAAUGGUUUGCAUUUCAUAGUACUUUUUUUUUGAAAAGGGGAUUCCCCGGCCUCUGCAUCAGAAAGAUGCAUAUGGCCAUCUUAUUAACCAAAUAAAGUAGUGCCAACAUGGUUCCAAAUAAAGUAGUGCCAACAUGGUUCCAAAGGUCUCCAAAAAUAAUAAAAAAGCACAGAAAGCUCACACAGAGACAAUAAGGGCUAGAAACACCAACUAGGCAAGAAAAGACGCCACAACCGGAUGGCUAAAACUAGAUAGGAAAACUAAUUGCCUAUCCUAUUACAUGACCGCCAUCCAAACCGGUUGAAGAUAUCCCGAGCUACCAUCUCCCAGCGAAAAGACCCAGUAACCAAAUGCUCCCUGGCCUCCGUCUGGGUGAGUAGCGACCAUGAACGCCUCCGUCUGGGUGAGUAGCGACCAGGAACAGAUCAGAGCCGUAGUUCGGAAUAUGACCUGCAAAAAAUGUAUACAUGAUAUUCUGUUAAAAACCAAAUCAUUUCUGCAAGUUCAGAUAGUCCACAGCAAAGCACAAACUCCAACCCGAAUAUGUCUCGCUAAGUCAGGCUCAAUCCCAUUAAGCCAUGUCCCAAAUAACGCAUUAACAGAAUUCGGUGGAUUGAUAUUAAAAGCAAUGUGGACCGUCUGCCAAAGUACCUUGGCCAACGGGCAAUCAAAAAAGAGGUGUUUGAUAGUCUCAUCCCGAUUGCAGAAACUACACCUAGUAGGUCCUGUCCAAUUACGCUUUAUCAAGUUGUCUUUAGUUAAAAUAACUUGUUUAUGGACAAACCACAUAAACACUUUUAUUUUCAAAGGAACUUUGACAUCCCAAACAUGCUCGGACGUAGGAAUGGAGUUCGAAUUAAUAACAUCAAUAUACAUUGAUUUAAUCGUGAAUACUUCAGACUUAGUCAAUUUCCAGCGUAAUUCAUUUUUUAUUUCAGUAUUUAUGAGGUUGUCAAAUUAGGUUUUAUAUUGAGAUGGUGUAGUUAAGCCUUUGGGUAGUUACACAUUCUUUUAUCAUUUAGACAAAAUACUCAUCGGGCGGGUAUAUCUACUUUUCUUAGACUCACAUUCUGAUUUGGCAAUCAGAUAUUAUUUCUUACAUUUCUUUACGAUGUCUUACAUUAAAGUACACACACAUAUAUGGAUAAUUAAGUGAAAUUUUUGCAUGUGAAAUAAAAAACAAGUUGCUGUUAAAUAUAUUAUGGAACUUUGUAUUGAAAUAAUGUGUCACUGGUUUCAGCUUUUUGUUUUGUACAAAAUGUCUUGCCUAGCAUUUAUCUUCUUUUAAAUAGUGUCGCUGUUGUCAGUUUUUUUGUUUUGUACAAAGUGCUGCCAAGUUCUGAUAGUUAUGUGUGCAUUUUAUAUUUGUGGGCAAGGUUGUCAGAAUCGCGAUUUUGUUGUACGAUUCUACGACUUUACGAUCUAAACUAACCCCUCUGAUUCUACGAUUUUGGUUCAUAGAAUCUACGUUUUUACGAUCCUGAUAGUGAAGAUUCUAUGAUUUGCGAUCCUGUCAUUGGAGCUCCGAUCCGAUUCAGAAUUGCGAUUCUGACAACCUUGUCUGUGGGUUCCUUUUCCUUUUAUUGAAAAUGAUUACAGCAUUGCAUCCAAUAUCUACAUGUUAAACAGAUCUAGAUGGCCUGAUUUGACAAUAUUUCAUGUAGAUAAACAUCUGCCUUUCCCAUACAGAAGUCAGCUGCCCCAAACACCCUUUGAUACUUGUAUCAGCUUUGGAGGGGAUAUCAGUAGUGUGUGGAACACAUUUUAUUUUUCUUAUUCAAUUUAUGAAGCUGUUUACCCGCUGGCCUAAAAUAUGGGCAGCUUGUAAAACUCAGCAACUAGUUUGCCGAAAAAGGUGCUAACUUUAGCUAUUGUACUUGUUCGGCACCUGACAGCGAAAAGGCGACCAAAUGUGUCCGAUCUGUAUUGGCAUAAAAUCCGAGACAUUGAGCAUAAAAAUAUGGGGACUGAUAGGCGCCGGUGCGCCGGCCUAACUUUUGGGCAGGUCCACCACCCACCGUCAGAUUAGCAUGCGUGUGACCGUUCGAUCAAAGUCAACGCAUCCCGUUUCACCCCAAUCUUCUCCCCCCGCUUGUCUCUGCCACAUCGCUGCACCGUCCGCCUCAUUACACGUGCUCGUCCACCCAUCCUGUAGGUCUUCGUGCCCCAACCCGCCAUCGCAGCUCCCUCGUCACCGCCAUGGCCGUCCCCUCACUCGUUGUUGUAGGCAUGCAUCACCUUUUCCAACAAAAAAAAGAACUCAGCAAAGAAAUCCAGUCAAAAAAUCCAUCGGUGGUAGCAAAACAAAACAUCGGUUCCAGCAAAACACACACAUGCUUCCAUGUUGUCGUCGCCGUAGUAGCAAAAAAUUAGCCAGUUCCAACAAAAAAUCUCAAGAACAGAAACUACCAUGGUCAGGUUGAAGCAAAAAAAAGGCCGGUUCCAGCAAAAAAAAAUAUGAUUGAAGCAAAAAAAAUCUCAGCAAAAAAAAUCUCAGCAAAAAUACUAUAGUGUUCUUGAAGCAAAAAGAACAUAUGGUUCCAGCAAAAAAAGUGUGAUUCCAGCAAAAAUUAAUACCGAUUCCAGCACCUCCGAUUAAGGUGGUCGUAGCUUUUUCCCUAGCCGGUUCCAGCACCUUAGAGUAUGGACGCAACUUUUUUCAUGGCCAGUUGUAGCUUCUAAAACAGUUGUAGGAAAAAAAAAAGAGGGUUAAGGAUGAGUGAUGAAGGGGAUGGACCGAUGGAGUUCAUAUGGCUUCUGGGAAAAGAAAUGGGAUGGAGUUCAUCCAUGGCUGCUGAGGAGAGAAGGGGAAGGAGUCCCUCCAUGGCUACUUGAGAGAGAAGGGGAUGGAGUUCAUCCAUGGCUGCUGAGGAAAGAAGGGGAAGGGGUCUAUCCAUGGCUACUACAGAGAGAUAAGGGGAAGGAGAUCAUCCAUGGACGCAGCUCCGCCGCUCGCAUCGACUCCGGCGCCGCUCCACCCGCCGGUGCUGGGAUUUCAAGGACUUGGAGGCAAGGGACGAACUAGAUAGGUCUUGCGGGGGGUGGGGAUAAGGUUCCUGUGGAUAGCGCUGGGUAAGCGGUCACAUGGGCGUGCGUUGUGCGAGGAGGUGACCGACCCAAUUUUGACCGGCUGACCGAUUGCAAACGUUUCCUAAAAAUAUCACGUAAUUCGUCUUAGUCUGAGCUGCCUUUUCUUCAACCUCCGUGGCUAGUCGUCGUGUGGGGUAUCAAAAAAGAGAUUUCCUUAUCUAUCUAAUAUCUAUAUUGUCAUCGUUUUAAUAUAUUCUUUUCCAUAAAACCUGUUUGGUAAACAGCACGACAGACUGUCCAGGAAUAACUAGUCGAAGCCUCACUGCUCAAAGAUCAGCACCUGACAGCGAAAAGGCGGCCAAAUGUGUCCGAUCUGUGUUGGCAUAAAAUCCGAGACAUUUGAGUAUAAAAAUAUCACAUAAUUCGUCUUAGGCUGAGCUGCCUUUUCUUCAACCUCCGUGGCUAGUCGAAGAACAGUUUUUUAUGUCGGCAUAUAGAGAUAAUGCAAUGCAAUGCCGUUGUUGCAUACUGCUGAAAUUUGGAGGAACGCUCACCAUGAAUAUUUUUUCUCGAAACAUGAACCAUUAUUAUCCAUCAAAUCUACGCAUGCCGUUUUCUCCUCUCUUCACUACCUACUCACUAAACUCAUUAUUAAGUAGACCAACUGUCAAGUCCAAUGGUCGACAAAUAGUACUCGCUUUGUUCUUUUUUAGUCUACAUAUAACUUUUUUUCAAAGUCAAAAUAUCUUUAUUUUGACCAAACUUAUAGAAAAAAAUAUCAACAUUUACAAUACCGAAUGAAUAUAUUUAGAUUCAUUAUGAAAUGUAGUUUUUAUAUAGAUGUUGAUAUUUUUUAAUACAAAUUUGGUCAAAAUUUGUCAAGUUUGACUCGACACAUUUUUUUUGAAAAGGACGCUUUAUUACUUAUAAGUUAAGCAUUACAUUUUUCACACAACACUGGAGCUGCCAAUUCAAUUUUCCACAGUUGAGCUAUAAAAUUUAAGUUUAUUGCUCUAUAAUUCAAGUCCAGAGCUCAAGUCAUACGUGUCCCAAUUACGAUAGGUAUUUUCUUGUAUUUUCUUUUCUCACUAACAACGAAGAUAUCUGGAGCACGCUACUCUUUGAACUAGAUAAUUACUCGCGCGUUGCUGCGGGAAUUUGUAGUAAUAAACUUAUCAAGAAUAAAAUUAAAAUAUAUAUGUGAAUAAUAAACCAUCACAUUCUAGUUAUCCAUAAACUUUAGCGGAUCAGUGGUGGAGCCAACAUCAAAACAAUGGUGUACACAAUCCCUAGAAUUUUUAGAUUUUGCUCAUGUUUCCUAACUUCCUUAUUGUUCUACAUAUCUGCAUCAUAUACUUAUGUACCAAAAAGGUCUGCAAAAUAAUGGUUAUACAUUUGUACACCCAAGCGGGUAUGUAGCUUCGUCCAUGUAGUGGAUCUACUAGUAAAUGGACAUGGUUGGGUGGUAUAGUGCCUUGUGGCCUUCUGACUUUGGUGUAGAAAUUUGUUGCUUAAAUACUAAUAAUAAAGGAUUUGGAUACAUUCUAUCUAAAAUAAGUAAUUCAAAAGACAUGCUUUUUAGGCAAAUACCCAAAAGUAUCUCUUCUAAAUNNNNNNNNNNNNNNNNNNNNNNNNNNNNNNNNNNNNNNNNNNNNNNNNNNNNNNNNNNNNNNNNNNNNNNNNNNNNNNNNNNNNNNNNNNNNNNNNNNNNNNNNNNNNNNNNNNNNNNNNNNNNNNNNNNNNNNNNNNNNNNNNNNNNNNNNNNNNNNNNNNNNNNNNNNNNNNNNNNNNNNNNNNNNNNNNNNNNNNNNNNNNNNNNNNNNNNNNNNNNNNNNNNNNNNNNGUGGGGGGGGGGCUUCGUUUUUAGAUAUUUUUUCAAGGUUUGUUAGGGUUUGUGUCCUACUCAGGAAGGCGAAUGGUGACGACUCCUUGAAGGUGGAAUAAAGGUCUCCCGGCCUAGCCUCCGUUCCGGUUAUGCGUCUAGCAUCGUCGGUGGGCGUGUGGAGUUGUGUCUCCGGUGGAUAUGCAUUUGGUGGAUUUGCUCGGAUCUGUUCGCCGUUCGUCUUUGCUCAUGUGUCUUCAGGUUGGUUCCUUCUUAUCUACACUCUUUAUCGAUGGUGGUUGCUGUUCUGGCGUGUUGAUUCUAUGGGGACUUAGCACGACGACUUUCCUACUGUCUACUACAAAAAGGUUUGCCCGGCUCCAGCAAGGAAGGGGUGAUGACAGCGGUGCAGCAUCGGCUCGCUUCAGUGCUUAUAGUCGUCACUAGGUGGUCUACGGAUCUGGAUGUAAUUUUUAUUAUUUCUAGCGUUCGUUGUACUAUUGAAGAUGAAUAGAUCGAAAGUUUAUUCUGCAAGAAAAAAAUUGAGAGUAUAAACUAUCCAAAAGAUAUUGUUCAUUCAUGCAGAUACAUGCACCGCUGAAUUGAGAGUGUUCUUGACCACAAUUGAAGAUCAAUAAUACUACACCUACGAAAGGUGCUACGUAGUCCUACUUAACCUUCCAAUAAAUUCCUUUCUCCCCUCGAUUUUAACCGGUGUGGGCCCUAGCUGCUAAUCCUGACCUAAUUAACAAAUCCCACAUCAGCUUUUACGUAAGAUCUGAACGUAAGCUUACAUAUGUCUAACAUUGCUCAUUGAAGAUAAUUUAAGAAAGGAAAGCACUUCCUAUCAGAAGUCUGAUACAGAAGUUUUGUCAGACCGGCCCGGCGUCCCUGAUCCCCUACUAUUCCCACGGCCCAUAUCUUUACCUACUAAUAAAGAAAGCAGCGAUUGCUUCUGGUUGUACGUCGUCGGCGUUUUUGCAAAACAGCCCCUCUAUUUCUUUGAAAUAAACCCGCAGUCCCUGUUUAAGUGGCACUCUGGAAAAGGUUUUAUUUUUACCUAAACACCCCAACAUUUGUUAAAAAUUAUGCCCAUGGCCCUAUCUCUUAUUGGACUGGCUCACCACCGCGCAUCUCGCCGCUUAUCAUGUCGUUCUGCACCGCGGGGCACGCGCCGCCGGCGCCGCGGCGGGCGUCCGCGCCGAGGCGGGGCACCGGCUGGAGCACGGCGUGCACUCGACGGACACCGGAGCGAAGCGUGUUUGAGGCGCGAGAGGCAGGAGGCUGGAUCUUGGCGCGGCUCCUCUUCACACACAGCCCAGCCGCCGCCCUGCUGCCAUGAAUAGCCCAGCCGCGGAGAGGUGUGAGAUCAGGGGCGGGGAGGGAGAAGCGAGCUUACGGCUUCGUCCUCGGUCGUGGAUGCGUAGACGAACAGAAGGCAAGCGUUUGUCUCCUUCGGUCUCGAUGCGGACGAGCAGCUGCGGCUAGGCCCUCGGCGCAACGUGCAGGCGAGCGGGCGUGCAGUGGAUAGGUGUGAUGCGCGCCACGCGCGAACCAGUGCGGUCACACGGUGAGCAGAGUGUCCUGGCGAGCGGGAGGCUUGGGGGUCAACGCAUCCUGGCGAACGGUCGUUGUUGCGCUCGAGCGCUGCUCCCUCGCGCUGGAAGAAAGUUCGGCGGCAACUCUCCAGGGACUUGUGGCGGGGCGACACGGAUCAUACAGGGACGGCCUGGAUCUGGACAGGGUUGAGGAGGGCGCGGCUCCCAGGGUUGGACUGUUGGACUUGAGCUCGAUGCAACAUCCAUGGCAGCUCGCGGUCCUAUAGCACCGAGAAGAGAGAGGGAGUUAAGAGAGAGAGAGAGAAGAAAGAGGAAGGAGGAAGAAGAAGGAGAAGGGAGCAGAGGCAGGGGGCGGCCCGGCUUGCUGCUGGUGCUCGCCGGCGCACGCGGCUCGGGGAGGCUCGGGCGCUCGUGCAGCUCCAUGGGAGGAGCUCAUGGAUGGCCGGAUGGAUGGAUAAGAGGAAGGAUAGCAGCGCCGUUGGGAGGAAUGGAAACGUGGAUAACAUCCGCACAAUGGGAAGCUCUCGGUGGGGAUUCUUGGUAUGAAAUGUGGAUUGCUUUUUUUAAUGGCUGCACUGAUGAGUGACGAGAAGCUGCUGGAUGUUGCCAUGCGUGCUAGCAGCCAAGCAUCCAUUGCAUUUUUUUUUCUAAAUGAGCACCGAUAUAAUUACUUGUUGUUAUUUAUUGUUACUUUCAUAGCUUUUUUUAACGUAGUACAGACGCAAGCGCCCACAUAUACAUGCAUCCAAUUAUUGCUAUGAACGCACACACACUCAUACUACUCAUAUGAGCACCUCCGAAAGACUGAGCCGACAUAUUAUCUCGAGAUCGUGGCUCGUCGUCGACGGGAACGUCUUCUCCCACUGAAAUGCAUCACCGAAAAUCCUGGAAUGAAUUCAGGAAUAAUGCGAGCCCAGAACUUGAACCCUGGUGGGCUCAAGAUACCACUGUCCAUCUAACCAUCCAACCACAGUUUAGUCCGCAUUACUGUCAUAGUUUAAUGUUCAUGCCUACUACAUCAUCAUAUACAAUAAUUAAAAAUGAAUGAAAUAUUAGAAAUAAAUAUUUCUAAAGGGAGAAGAUAUUUGGAGCCCACGUAACUUGCUAACAAUUAACAUAUCCUCAACUCUGGAUGUCUUUGACGUUGUUGGUGAAACAUGGAGGGAUGAAGAGUAGAGAGAAUGUGACAACAGUGCAUCUUGCUCGCGUCUUGUUUUGUCCCGCACGCCAGCUGAGGGAAGGGGCCCAUUUUACCAUCUCUACCACCGCUCCGCGUGCCCUAAUCUUGAUCCCCAACGAGGCCUGAUGAUGAUGUCCAGAGAAGUGGCCAUGUUGGCGUUGGGUGUGUGCUCCUACUGCUGGUUGCAACGUGUCAACAAAAGAGCUCCAGGCAUUGUAAACUCUUUAUAUUCUGAUCAUCAUAUUUUUGAAGUGGGAAAGUUUAAAUAUGAAUUAAUGUUAAUAGGGAUUUCGAGGUAGAGAAGGAGGACGGUAGGGCAAGACAAACGGAAAUAAUGGACACAUGGACGGUUAACAAUGUCUCCUGUUGCAACGCACGGGCAUUUGUGCUAGUUUUAAACAAAUCUCCGAUCCCGUUAAUCGAUCCCACAUUUUUAUCCAUCUCCCGAGUAAAUCUCGCUAGCUACCCCAUCCCAACGACCUCACCAGUCACCACGUCCGGAGCGAGUAAAUCUCGCAUCCCACCGGCAAGCUCGGGGCGCUCACCGCGACGACUACCUCCGCCGCCAGCUCCGGACCAAAAACUCGCGACGGCUACAACAGAUCCAUGUCACUGGUGUGGCGCCCCGCCCCCAUCUCCACCAUUGAUCCCUGCUCUCACCAUCGGCCGACCAUGCCCUCUUCGCCGCCCCGGUCCCCCGCCAGACCUUUCCCCACCACCAUCCCUCACAGCGCGCUGGUGCGCCAUUUUGGCAUGGCAAAGAAGUUGUGUGCAUGUUCGAGGCAUCGUGUGUCAGCGCCCCUGACAUGCCGGCUCCACCGGCCACCAACGGAGGAACCAGCCCGGGCCGGCCUGUGCAUCACGCCAAGCCCAACAGAAGGGUGACUGGCCCAGAAUGGGUCCGGUAGGCCCAACGAGGCGUUGCUACUUAAGUCACCCACCCGGCUGGAGAGAGAUCCAUCCAGAGGAUCAACGAACCCGGUGGCAGCGGCUACCAUUUCCCUGCUCGAACCCUAGUUCUCCUCAUUCUUGUAAUUCGAUCGAGUGUAUCUAGAUAUUGCCACUGCUUAAUAGAUCCUCAAGUAGAACCUAUCAUCUGGUAUCAGAGACCAGUCCACCUCCCUUCCGCCGUACCACCCUGGCCCAAUUCAUUGAAACACGGCGGCUUCGACUCGCUCGAUCCGACCUCUCCGCCAUGGAUUCGUCCAUCCAAGCCUUCCUCGACCGGUUGGAUGCGACGCUGGCCGCCCACACCUUGUCCAUCGCCGCGAUCCAGGCCCAGACUACCAAGAUCGACGAUUUGGUCGCAUGGCGACCCGAUCUAGAGAAACGCGUCGUUGAUCUCGGCGUCGUGGUCACGGCUCUUCAGCAGGCGCACGUCCCGUCGCCUGCGGCAUCUACGGUGGCGCCCCACAUGGAGAAAGGCCCUUCUCUACCCCAGCGACGCUUGACGCCCCCAUCGGGCACAAGCAGGACGCGGGCGGGGCGAUCUACAGGUCUGCGGACCAUGACGUCUUCAACAUCUCACGGGGGGUGUCGGCGACGUCGUUUUGCACGCCGCCGCCACUCCCGGCCAACGGUCAGUCCGACUCCACUCAUACCACGGCUCCACUUUCGCCCUUUGUGCACACAAGCCAGCUACUGAUGGGGUUGGGACAGGCUCACCCAUCCAUUUCCUUCCCUCAAUUCGCGGGGGAAAACCCAAAUUUGUGGAAAACCUUAUGUGAGCAAUAUUUCCAAAUGUUUGGGAUUCACCGUACCUUUUGGGUGCCCAUGGAGGCGCUCAACUUCUCUGUUGCGGCUUCAAUUUGGCUUCAACCGAUCCAGAAAAAACUUGCUAAUUAUGAUUGGGAAUCUUUUGCUGCACUGCUUUGUACGUGCUUUGGCCGCGAUCGGCAUCAGAUGCUGAUCAGACAGUUUUAUACUGUGCGGCAAGUCACUUCAGUAGCAGAUUACAUAGAGAGAUUUGAGUUAAUUAUCAACCAUUUGAGUUCAUAUUCUGACACAAUUCAUCCGUUCUAUUUCUUAACACGCUUCAUCGAGGGGCUACGACUGGAUAUCCGGGCGGUGCUCCUGGUCCAGAGGCCACCCAACCUGGAUACGGCAUGCGCUCUGGCCCUUCUCCAGGAAGAGGUGGCGGAUGGUGGCCGUCCAGAGCCGCCACGACAGCAACAACCGAGGCCGCCUGAAUCGGUGUGACCUGUGUCAACAGCCCGCUCCCGCUUCCACCACCACCAGCGCGUCCAGCAACGACAGCAGCGGGGGCGACUGAUCAACGAGGCAUGGAGGCUGCUCAGGUAGACUCCACCAAGAUCAAGACACUUCGAGACUACCAGCGUGCACGUGACCUCUGUUUCAAGUGCGGCGGGCGGUGGGGGCACGACCAUGUGUGCCCCACCUCGGCGCAGUUGCAUGUCAUCGAAGAACUACUCGAGCUUUUCGGCAUCGACAGCAUAACAGAACCACCGAUCAACCAGAAGAGGUGGUGAUGGCUAUUUCACGCUCUGCCAUUUCUGGUGGGGUCUCGGCCAAAGCAUUCCAGCUGAGGGCAUGGAUACAAGGCCGAGAGGUGCUUGUGCUCGUGGAUUCAGGAAGCUCUACGUCCUUCGUCAACUCUGAACUGGCCCAGAUGCUGGAAGGGGUUGAGCCAUUACCAAAAACCUACAGUGUCAGAGUGGCCGAUGGUGGGGAGCUCAAAUGUUCAGCCAUCAUUCCAAGCUACAGUUGGUGUACUCAAGGCCAUGAAUUCGCAACAGAUCUGAAAGUGCUAUCUCUGGGGGUCUGUGAUGCAAUCUUGGGCAUGGAUUGGCUCGAGGAACACAGCCCAAUGACAGUGGAUUGGAAGGCCAAAUUGAUCACUAUGUCGUCCCAACAAGGCUUGCUUACUCUGCAAGGACAUGACGUUGACUCAAUGAACUGUUUGAUCAUCAAUAGCCUGCAGUUGCAAGGGCUAUGCAGCAAGAAUGCGGUGGCUUAUAUGGUGCAGUUGCACACAGUUGAGCUGGACAAGGAACAAGAGACGAGUACCCCAGAAGAACUCCAGGAGGUCAUUACAGAAUUCGCUGAUCUCUUCGAGAAGCCGACAGGACUGCCCCCACGGCGAGAGUGCGACCAUCAUAUUCCCUUGAUUCCAGGCGCACAACCGUUCAACAUCCGUCCUUACAGGCACAAACCAGAGCACAAAGAUGAAAUUGAGCGGCAAAUCGUAGAGCUGUUAAGGACAGGCAUCAUACAACGGAGCACAAGUCCCUUUACUUCACCAGUCAUCCUGGUAAAGAAAAAAGACGGCACAUGGCGACUCUGUGUGGACUACCGUCAUCUCAACGCCCUCACAUGUGUCGCUAAGUUUCCGAUACCAGUCAUUGAAGAGCUGUUGGACGAACUGCAUGGUGCCUGCUGGUUCUCAAAACUUGAUUUGCGAGCGAGGUACCACCAAAUACGGCUCGCAGAAGGGGAAGAAUUCAAAACAGCAUUCCAUACACACUCCGGCCACUAUGAAUUUAGAGUGGUCUCAUUCGGCCUAGCGGGUGGACCAGCAACUUUCAAUGGAGCAGUUACCCUCACUCUACACCCACUCCUGCGCCAUUGCGUACUGCUUUUCUUUGAUGACAUACUGGUUUUCAGUCGCACUCUGAAUGCCCACAUCAAGCACCUCCGGCAAGUCCUUGAACUCCUUCGUCGAGACCAGUGGAAGGUGAAACUCAGCAAGUGCGCGUUUGGUCAGCCAAAAAUAUAAUACCUGGGACAUGUUGUCAGUGCAGAAGGUGUUGCUACCGAGCCAACCAAGAUCAAGGCAGUCCCCGAGUGGCAAACCCCGACCACGGUCAAGGCAGUGCGCAGCUUUUUGGGGUUAGUGGGCUAUUACCGGUGCUUUGUACGCAACUUCGGCGUCAUUGUUAGGCCCCUCUUCAAUCUGCUCAAGAAAGGGGUCCCGUUUGUUUGGACCAGGACACGGAAACAGCCUUCCACCUUGUAACGCCCUCGAUGCGGCUAUAGCUCCCACGUGUCGAGGCACGACUUAGAGGCAUAACCGCAUUGAAAGCAAUGUCACAAGUUAGGCAAUCUUCACAACUUCCCAUGUAAUAUAGAUAAUAAAAGGGGAGAUACAUAGUUGGCUUACAAUCGCCACUUCACACAAUUACAUGAAUAAAGCAUUACAUCAUCCAGAUACAAACAAGGUCCGACUACGGAACCAAAAUAAAAGAAGAAGCCCAAAUGCGACACGGUCCCGAUCGACCCCAACUGGGCUCCAGUACUGAUCAACUAGAACGAAACAACACAAAGGACAAGAUCUUCAUCGAGCCCCUCCUGAGCUUGGUUGCGUCAUCUGCACGGACUCAUCGGCACCUGCAAGCUGGUUUUGGAAGAAUCUGUGAGUCACGGGGACUCAGCAAUCUCGCACCCUCGCAAUCAAGACUAUUUCCUUAUGGGUAAGGUAAAGGUAUGAGGUGGAGCUGCAGCAAGCGACUAGCAUAUAUGGUGGCUAACAUAUUCACAAAAGAGAGCGAGAAGAGAAGGCAAAGCAUGACCGGGAAACUAUGAUCAAGAAGUGAUCCUAGAACAACCUACGUCAAACAUAACUCCAACACUGUGUUCACUUCCCGGACUCCGCCGAAAAGAGACCAUCACGGUUACACACGCGGUUGAUGCAUUUUAAUUAAGGUCACCUUCAGGUUUUCUACAACCGGACGUUAACAAAUUCCCAUCUGCCCAUAACCGCGGGCACGGCUUUCGAAAGUUCAAAUCCCUACAGGGGUGUCCCAACUUAGCCCAUGACAAGCUCUCACGGUCAACGAAGGAAUAGACCUCCUCCCGAGACAUUCCGAUCAGACUCGGUAUCCCGGUUCUACAAGACAUCCUCGACAAUGGUAAAACAAGUCCAGCAAGACCGCCCGAUGCGCCGACAUCCUGAUAGGAGCUGCACAUAUCUCGUUCUCAGGGCAACACCGGAUGAACACUACGUACAGCUGAAACCAGCCCUCAAGUUUCCCCGAGGUGGCGCCGCAAGUGGCUCUAGUUUGGACCAACACUUAGACAAGCACUGGCCCGGGGGGGUUAAAAUAAAGAUGACCCUCGGGAUGCGCGACUCCCAAGGGAAAAAGGCUAGGUGGCGAAUGGUAAAACCAAGGUUGGGCCUUGCUGGAGGAGUUUUAUUCAAAGCGAACUGUCAAGGGGUUCCCAUUAUAACCCAACCGUGUAAGGAACGCAAAAUCCGGGAACAUAACACCGAUAUGACGGAACUAGGGCGGCAAGAGUGGAACAAAACACCAGGCAUAAGGCCGAGCCUUCCACCCUUUACCAAGUAUAUAGAUGCAUUAAUUAAAUAAGAUAUAUUGUGAUAUCCCAACAAGUAAAUAUGUUCCAACAAGGAACAACAACUCCAUGUUCCAACACGGAACAAACUUCAAUCUUCACCUGCAACUAACAACGCUAUAAGAGGGGCUGAGCAAAGCGGUAACAUAGCCUAACAACGGUUUGCUAGGAUAAGGUGGGUUAGAGGCUUGGUUCAACAAUAUGGGUGGCAUGAUAAGCAAGUGGUAGGUAUCGCGGCAUAGGCAUAGCAAAAGAGCGAGCAACUAAGCAAGCAAAGAUAGAAGUGAUUUCGAGGGUAUGGUCAUCUUGCCUGAAAUCCCGCAAGGAAGAAGAACGAGUCCAUGAAGAAGACAAACGGACGUAGUCAAACGGGUCCUCACAAACGCGACGUUAUCGGAACCAACCCGAAGAAGCAAACAUCAGAAAAGAAGCACACAACAUAGUAAACAACCAACACAUGAACAUGGUAUGAUAUGCGGGAUGCGGUAUGCGAUGCAUAUUCAUGAUUUGCAAAGGAAUGAAUGAACCUAGACUCAACAUGGAAAUCCAAGUGUGCCACUGUAAAGAUGAGAUUAAAUCGCUUGAAAACGAUAUAAAGAUCACCGGAAUCGGAGUUACGGUUUGGAAAUGGCAAGCAAUUCAGAUAUGACCCCGUUCUGCGAUUUACAGCAAGUAGCCAUCUAAAUGCAACAAGAUGAACAUGCUACAGCACCCAAACAUGGCAACAAAAUACAUGGCAGGAUCCAUUCAUGAUGCUUAACAAAAGUCUAGCACCGAGCUACGGCCAAUUCAUCCAUUAACACGUUCAAACAAACAUGGCAAAAAUGCAUUUGGUAAACAGAUUUCAGACUUAGUGAAAUUAACACUUGUCUGGAAUUUCAGAUCAGGUAGCACACUUUGGAGCAUGAAAACUAUAAGCUACAGGGCCUGAACAUGGCAAAGUAAAGCAUGGCAUGGAGCUACUCAAAGAGCUUAACAAAAGUCCCUUAGUGACCUUGAGACAAAAGGGAUCAGAAAAUACAUUUGCAAGCAUGUGAACAUGGCAAAAACAUAAUCAGAUCACAGACUUAGUGAAAACUGGAGCAUGCUGAAACAGAUAUCAAGUAGGCAUGUUUACGAGCUCGAUGCACUCACUACAGAGCAAGUCAUGACAAGCUAAGCAUACACCCAUCAAGAAUACACAAAAUACAAGCUAGACAUGGCAAGAACAAUAACAUAGCAUGCAUGGAUCAACUACAACAUCCUCGGCAAAAUUGCUAACAAGUAGACAAUCUGCCCAGAUUCACGAAAUGACAAAAAUAGAGCUCGAUUGACUCAAGCUAGGGUGAUCCAUAAUUGCAAACAAAGACAUGGAUGGAUAUAGCACUACAAGAUUAACAAAACAUCCUUACUGAUCAUCCUCAAAAGAGGCAUGGAUCACUAGGAAACAACAUGAACAUAUGGCAUAAUGAGAUAAACAGACCAAGGACUUAGUGGAAAUGCUAAGUCCCUUAAAUCAGCACUAACAAGUGCCCCACUUUGCAAGCUUGUGCUAGUCACCACACACAUCACAAAAAUACAUGGGUUGCACCUCUGGAUAGAUGGCAAAACCCUUAACAAAACAUAUGUAGAGCUCAGGGGCAUAUCAUGCACACAAUAAACAUGGCAAAAAUGACAAAAUAUCUAAAUGGAGCAGCAGAUCUGACAAUUAACUCAAAUAGCGCUCUUCUAACAGCAUUUCGGGCAUCAAGAUGAACUCAAAUGAAAAUGAUGCAAUGAGAUGAAAUGAUGUUCUCUCUGAGACGAACAUUUUGAUAUGCUAUAUGCAUGAAUCGGAGCUAUGGAUGCAAAUUUACGAGGCGAUGAACAUGGGCAUGCGGAACUGGGAAUUUUGAGGACUUAGUAGAAUUUUUACCUCCCGAAACGGAUCUAGGGUUUCGGGGUACGCCGUACGAGGUUCGCCGGAAAGUCGCCGGAGGAGAGGGAGAUGGCGCCGGAGUUGGGGAAAAACUCGCCGGAGUUGUCAGGGUUGCCGGAUCCGAUCGCUCCUCGACCUGAUCUGACCGGGGAAGAAGCGGAGCGAGGUACCGAGGCGGAGGCGGCGCCGGCGACCUCCUGCAAUGGCGGCGCGGCACGGGAGCUCCAGCGAGCUCCUGCGGCAGGACGGCGGGAUGAAGAGGGCCGGCGAGCACUCGGGGUUCGUCCGCUCGGGGACCCCGCAGUCGAGCGGCGGCCUGCGAAGGCCCGGGUGGUUCGCUCCGGCGAAGACGGCGCCGGUCGGCGGCGGAGCGGCGAAGCGCGGGGCAGCGGCCGACGAUGAGACACAAGGCGGCGGCGCAGGGGAGGCUCUGGCGGCGGAGCGCGGGGGCCGAUCCGGGCUCUCGCGGGCUCGGGCGGGCCCCGGAUGGGCCUGCAGGGCCGCAGCAGCGAAGUGGGCGCGGCGGGGACAGGUGGCGGCCUGUGGUUGGACGAGGGAGUGGCGGCGAUGACGUGGCGAGCCCCCAUUGGUGGGAGGGACGUGGCGGCGGGCGGCGGACAUUGUCCAGCGCGGUGAGGACGCGUCCGGCGGCGCGAGGGAAGGAAUUUUUAGGGUUUCGUCCGCGAAUUUGGAAGGGUUGCACAUAUUUAUAGGUAGAGGGAGCUAGGAGAGUACAAAUGAGGUGCGGUUUUCGGCCACGCGAUCGUGAUCGAACGACCGAGAUGAUGGAGGAGGUUUAGGUGGGUUUUGGGCCAAAAUGAAGGGGUGUUGGGCUGCAACACACACGAGGCCUUCUCGGUCCCUCGCUUAACCGUUGGAGCAUCAAACGAAGUCCAAAUGGUACGAAACUUGGCAGGCGGUCUACCAGUGGUAAACCAAGACCGCGUGGCAAGUCUCGGUCCAAUCCGGAAAUGUUUAACCCCCAUGCACGAAAGAAAGGUAGAAAUGACCAUCGGAGGAGAACGAAGCGUCGGAAUGCAAAACCGACAACAUGGAAAAUGCUCGGAUGCAUGAGACGAACACGUAUGCAAAUGAAAUGCACAUGAUGACAUGAUAUGCAAUGCAUGACACGCAAGCAAUGACAAGGCAACAACAGCGAAUAACUGGAGGACACCUGGCACAUCGGUCUCGAGGCGUUACAACACUCCACCACUACGAGAGGAUCUCGUCCCGAGAUCUAGAAUGGCACCGGAGGGAAAACGGAAGAGAAAGAGAAGAGGUAAAACUAAGUUGCUCCUUUGCCAAACGAGUGAAACCAAAGAACCCUGAAAAAGAUUAAGCCAUUUCGAGAAAAGAAUACAACGGAGAUGAACGAAGUUGAAAACACUCCGAUAGAAAAGAGGAACAAAGAACAUUACUAGAACCUUGAGAUUGAAGGGCAAGAUAAAUCUUGAAACCACUCCGGUUGAAACAAGAUAGAAAAGGAUUGAGAAUGAUAUAAUUUGGGCAGCACUCCGACUGUAAGUGGAAAGAAUUGAACAUGAACUUGAAAAGAUGAGAGGAUACUUGAUGAAAUCACAAUACACUGCCUCCGUAACUAUUGAAUGAAUGGAACAAGGGGUAAGAAAUAUCUUGGACAACACUCCGGUUGAAAAGAGAUGAAAAACUUGAUAAAAUGAAAGAACUUGAGCAAAAGGGCACAACACUCCGGUUAGAUGGAUAAGCACAGGAAAGAACAUGAUCUUAGAUGAAACAAGAUGAUGGUUGAAGAAAACAACAUCGCAAUGCCUCCGAAACAAAAGUAAGCAUGGAAUGGGAUGAAUGAAGGAAAACAAGAUCUCGAGGUAGCACGCUUACAACAAAUGCUAGAACGGAGUUGUUGGAAAACCCACAACGAAAAGAAUAAGCUUGAUAUGGUCUUAUGGAAUACAUCUCGAAUUAUGAGGUGACAACCUGCCACUCACAGAAAAAGAAUUGGAUUGAUAUGAACAAAUUGGCGAGAAAGUAUAUCGCACCGGAAAGGAUAUAUGAAGAACUUGGAUCAUUUAUAAGCACCAUAAUAGCAACAAACCUUAGAGAAGGCUUUAGGUGAAAUAUAACCCAAGAUAAUAGCAAUGAAGAGAUUGAUGGAUUUAAAAUAUCUCGUUCAUGACAACAUGUGAAUCAUGAAACAUGAAUUCAAAUUAUCAAGAAUGACAUAAUACCACCUCCAAUGAUACGGAAGAAAGAAUUGCACUCUGGAUUACAAUAUGAAGAAAGCUUGAGCUUCUUGGAAAAGAAUCUCGAUGAACACUUCGAGAAUGAAUUAAAUCAUAGAUGAACCAUCAUGUAGAACCUUCAUGAAGAACUCCGGUAAACAAAAGAAUGAUCGGACGGAAAGAAAGAUGAGAAAAAUAAGGUUAAAACCUUGCAAUGAUUAGAUGAAGCUUAGCAAUGAGAUAAAGAGAAAACUUGGCACUCUGGAAAAGAAAGAUGAACAAAUGGAACAAGAAUUUGAUGAGCCUCCGGAAUAAGGAAUUAAUCACUUGUGCGAAACAAGAGUAAGAAUUAUGUUAUGCGUAUCCUUCACCAAUUAAAUUGAUGACCAACAAUGGAUUUGGCAUACUACUUAUUCUCGAAGAAAGGAUUAGGAUAGAUAUGGCGUCAACUUGAGAAGGUCUUCAACGAACCACCGAUAGAAUUUGAAAGAACGGGAGUAUGAUAACGUAAGAAGAGGAAUCUUGAAUGAAACACCGUAAGACUUAAAAAUGAAGGAAGAGAAGAUAAAGAAAACACCGGGAAGAAUUAGCAAAUGAAUGAAGAUGCUUGAGAGAAUUUAGAUAUAUGAGAACAAAGAGAUGACGAGCUGAUUAGAGAACACUUGAACGAUGCACCGGUAAGAUUAGGAGGACGAGAGCUGAAAGCUGAGAAUAAACAAGUCUUCUGAAAUGAUGGGCUCCGGAUAAUCGAACUGAAAAUACCCUUGAAUAUAUCCUGAUGGGUGAAAAAAAAGAUUCUCACAAUCGAAAACAAUUAUGAGAGGAUGGCAACAAGCUAGCACCAUGAAUCUUGAAGAGAAUGGAGCAAGAUUAAAGAGAAACUCUUCUUCGGUCUCCAAAAGAUGAGAAUGACAACGAGAAACACCACCAAGAAUUAUUGAGGCACCGGAAUAGAGAAGAAUAUAAAAGUUGAAUCAACAAUGAAAUGAAUUUGAAAGAUCUUGGAGAAAGACAUUUGACUGAUGACAAUUCAUUCUUACGUCAAACUUCGAAAAGAAAUUUGAGGAUAGCUCCGGGAAAAUAAGAAGAGUCAGGUAAAAUCCUGGGAAAAGACCUGUGGGUUAGGGCCCACUCAAAAGAAACACCAUUGAAAUGAUUUAAAAGAGAGGUUGCACCGUUUGAAUUAAAAGGCUUGAAUGAGAGAACAUCUUCAAGAGAUCUUGAACGAAUGCAGAGUGGAAACACGAAUCUUCGAGAUAUCUUGAGCACUCUGGAACAAUUGAAUAGCGAGAGGUGAAUGAUAAAGAGGUGCACCUGUAAGAAAAGGUAUUUGAAACAAGGAAAAAGAAUAUGAUCAACAAAACUUGACUUGAAACCACCGGAGAUGAAAAGAAUGAAGAAUGACGAACUUGAAGCUCCGUUAGAGUCUUCAUGAAAAUCACCGGGUAAGAACAUUGACGGAAAAGAAUGGGGAGUCUUCAUAUCAAUAAGAUGAUACUUGAUUAAGAAAUCUGAGUCCUUAAAGAAAAAGGGUGGGUGGGUGGGAAAAAUAAAGUCAACUUGGAACGGAUGAAGACAACACCGUUGAGAAGCACUGAUACUUGAUCUUGCUGAUAUUGAAAAGAUCGGAUCCACUUGAAGAGAGAUACACCUGUUAAAAAGGAUUGACAUGACACUAUCGAUUAUCAUGAAGUAUUAGUAUCCACAUGGGAAUAUGAGAACACCGUUUAGGAAAGGUAAGGAAUCAACACUUGACACUGAAGCAACUCGAAUACCACAACUCCAAACAAAAACAAAGGAUUUGCUUGUAGAAUAAGCCGGAACAAACAUAUGAUAGAGAAUUCGUCCGAAGUUUUCGUGGUGGGGCCUACACGGGCUCGAUCAUACAGCACCAUCAUGUACAAGGCAGUGCACAUGACAUACGAAGCGUCCCCGAGUCGGCAUAGCCAAGGACUCUUUAAGACACAACGAGACCAUUGUAAAACCGACCGUGAAUAGGCGGACCACUAGACGUCGAACCCCAAUUUCAGAUCAUACAUCUGUCGGAAAGAUAUCCUAAGACUACUUGAAUUACCACUUAUAAACUCCCGAAAUUUUCCGAUUAUGCAAUCAGGUGUUGGGGAUACAGGGGAAGCAUAAUAUCUCACCCAAAACUAGCAAAUCCUACAUCCAGCUGUAUCCAUCCUUCAACACAUAACCAAGAAACCUUCAGAAAUCAUCUACCUCAACCUUUGAAAAGCAUCCGUUAUACAAGUUAUGGCAAUACUCCCGAACUCCCGCCCCAGUACUGGGUGGUGUCGAGGUUAUCUCAUCAACGAACUGCAUAAAAGAGAUUUUCGAUGUCGGCGUACUAAACUCAGGUAUUCCAGAAUUGCAACGAUAAAAUUGUGACGACAACACCUCGGAGCUCAACUCCCCGGGACACUUCCACAAAACCCCUGACAGGAGGCACCAAGACAAUGUUCUCGUCACAAAACCAUCAGAACGAUUCCAAGAUACCCGCGUGAUCCUAAAAUUUUUUAGUGAAAUUUGAGAAGAGAAGAGUCAAAACUCUACGUCAGGAUGCCUUACCAGAGCGAUGAGGAGACUGGGAAGUAAAAGAGUUCCUAAACUCUCCGAUAUAUAAUUCCUAAAUGACUCAAAACAUUUUUCUAGACACAACUAGGCUGCUAAAACGAUCAAGCAAUGGGGCUCCUAAGGUCGGGGAAGGCUCUGAUACCAACUUGUAACGCCCUCGAUGCGGCUAUAGCUCCCACGUGUCGAGGCACGACUUAGAGGCAUAACCGCAUUGAAAGCAAUGUCGCAAGUUAGGCAAUCUUCACAACAUCCCAUGUAAUAUAGAUAAUAAAAGGGGAGAUACAUAGUUGGCCUACAAUCGCCACUUCACACAAUUACAUGAAUAAAGCAUUACAUCAUCCAGAUACAAACAAGGUCCGACUACGGAACCAAAAUAAAAGAAGAAGCCCAAAUGCGACACGGUCCCGAUCGACCCCAACUGGGCUCCACUACUGAUCAACUAGAAUGAAACAACACAAAUUACAAGAUCUUCAUUGAGCCCCUCCUGAGCUUGGUUGCAUCAUCUGCACGGACUCAUCGGCACCUGCAAGCUGGUUUUGGAAGAAUCUGUGAGUCACGGGGACUCAGCAAUCUCGCACCCUCGCGAUCAAGACUAUUUAAGCUUAUGGGUAAGGUAAAGGUAUGAGGUGGAGCUGUAGCAAGCGACUAGCAUGUAUGGUGGCUAACAUAUUCACAAAAGAGAGCGAGAAGAGAAGGCAAAGCACGAUCGGGAAACUAUGAUCAAGCAGUGAUCCUAGAACAACCUACGUCAAACAUAACUCCAACACCGUGUUCACUUCCCGGACUCCGCCAGAAAGAGACCAUCACGGUUACACACGCGGUUGAUGCAUUUUAAUUAAGGUCAGCUUCAGGUUUUCUACAACCGGACAUUAACAAAUUCCCAUCUGCCCAUAACCAUGGGCACGGCUUUCGAAAGUUCAAAUCCCUGCAGGGGUGUCCCAACUUAGCCCAUGACAAGCUCUCACGGUCAACGAAGGAAUAGACCUCCUCCCGAGACAUUUCGAUCAGACUCGGUAUCCCGGUUCUACAAGACAUCCUCGACAAUGGUAAAACAAGUCCAGCAAGACCGCCCGAUGCGCCGACAUCCUGAUAGGAGCUGCACAUAUCUCGUUCUCAGGGCAACACCGGAUGAACACUACGUACAGCUAAAACCAGCCCUCAAGUUUCCCCGAGGUGGCGCCGCAAGUGGCUCUAGUUUGGACCAACACUUAGACAAGCACUAGCCCGGGGGGUUAAAAUAAAGAUGACCCUCGGGAUGCACGACUCCCAAGGGAAAAAGUCUAGGUGGCGAAUGGUAAAACCAAGGUUGGGCCUUGCUGGAGGAGUUUUAUUCAAAGCAAACUGUCAAGGGGUUCCCAUUAUAACCCAACCGCGUAAGGAACGCAAAAUCCGGUAACAUAACACCAAUAUGACGGAACUAGGGCGACAAGAGUGGAACAAAACACCAGGCAUAAGGCCGAGCCUUCCACCCUUUACCAAGUAUAUAGAUGCAUUAAUUAAAUAAGAUAUAUUGUGAUAUCCCAACAAGUAAACAUGUUCCAACAAGGAACAACAACUCCAUGUUCCAACACGGAACAAACUUCAAUCUUCACCUGCAACUAACAACGCUAUAAGAGGGGCUGAGCAAAGCGGUAACAUAGCCAAACAACAGUUUGCUAGGACAAGGUGGGUUAGAGGCUUGGUUCAACAAUAUGGGUGGCAUGAUAAGCAAGUGGUAGGUAUCGCGGGGCAUAGCAAAAGAGCGAGCAACUAAGCAAGCAAAGAUAGAAGUGAUUUCGAGGGUAUGGUCAUCUUGCCUGAAAUCCCGCAAGGAAGAAGAACGAGUCCAUGAAGAAGACAAAUGGACGUAGUCAAACGGGUCCUCACAAACGCGACGUUAUCGGAACCAACCCGAAGAAGCAAACACCAGAAAAGAAGCACACAACAUAGUAAACAACCAACACAUGAACAUGGUAUGAUAUGCGGGAUGCGGUAUGCGAUGCAUAUGCAUGAUUUGCAAAGGAAUGAAUGAACCUGGCCUCAACAUGGAAAUCCAAGUGUGCCACUGGAAAGAUGAGAUGAAAUCGCUUGAAAACGAUAUAAAGAUCACCGGAAUCGGAGUUACGGUUUGAAAAUGGCAAGCAAUUCAGAUAUGACCCCGUUCUGCGAUUUACAGCAAGUAGCCAUCUAAAUGCAACAAGGUGAACAUGCUACAACACCCAAACAUGGCAACAAAAUACAUGGCAGGAUCCAUUCAUGAUGCUUAACAAAAGUCUAGCACUGAGCUACGGCUAAUUCAUCCAUUAACAGGUUCAAACAAACAUGGCAAAAAUGCAUUUGGUAAACCGCAUGCCAAGUCUCGGUCCAAUCCGGAAAUGUUUAACCCCCAUGCACGAAAGAAAGGUAGAAAUGACCACCGGAGGAGAACGAAGCGCCGGAAUGCAAAACUGACAACGGGGAAAAUGCUCGGAUGCAUGAGACGAACACGUAUGCAAAUGAAAUGCACAUGAUGACAUGAUAUGCAAUGCAUGGCACGCAAGCAAUGACAAGGAAACAACAGCGAAUAACUAGAUGACACCUGGCACAUCGGUCUCGGGGCGUUACACAGCUCCUCAAGAAGCAGCUAAUCACAGCACCAGUACUCGCCCUUCCAGACUUUUCCAAGCCCUUCUACGUUGAAACAGAUGCUAGCGAUCGUGGGAUAGUAGCAGUCUUGCAGCAAGGGGGGCAUCCAGUUGCGUUCAUGAGCAAAGCAUUGGCACCACGCUAUCAAGGCUUGUCCACGUACGAGAAGGAAUAUCUAUCGGUAAUCGUCGCAGUAGAUCAAUGGCGUCCGUACUUGCAGCACGGAGAAUUUACGAUCUACACAUAUCAGAAAAGCUUGAUCCAUUUGGAAGAACAAUGACUCUCAACACCGUGGCAACAAAAGGCCUUCACAAAACUGCUCGGCCUCCAGUAUUCCAUCAAAUACAAAAAGGGGGCUGAAAACACCACUGCGGAGGCACUAUCCCGAGCUGAAACAAUAGACGUUCUCAAUGUGAUCACGUCGUGCAAGCCGGCAUGGUUGGAUGACAUCUUGACAAGCUACAACUCCAACCCGCAAGCAUAGAAAUUAUUGGAGCAACUCGCAGUUCGGCCAGAUCCUAAAGAGAGGUUCUCACUCACCCAGGGGCUCCUACGAUUCUGUGGGCGCAUCUGGCUAGGGGCUCAACGGCGCAGCAGCAGCGCAUCAUCACAACGUUCUAUGAUAGCCCGAUGGGAGGCCACUCCAGAAUCCCAGCAACAUAUCGACACAUUCGCCGGUUGUUUGCUUGGCCUAAGAUGAAAGCACAUAUUCAUCAAUACAUCCGAUGUUGUCCAGUCUGCCAGCAGGCUAAACCUGACCGUACAGCCGCCCCGGGACUCCUUCAGCCUCUCCCCAUUCCAACAGCGCCGUGGGAGAUGAUCACCAUGGAUUUCAUCAACGGUCUGCCUCAGUCGGCCAAGUUCAACUGCAUUCUGGUGAUUGUCGACAGGCGCACCAAGUUCGUGCACUUCUUACCCAUGGCGCAUCCAUACACCACAGCUAAGGUGGCACUCUUAUACAUGAACCAAAUCUACAAGCUUCACGGUCUACUUGGAGCAAUAGUCUUGGAUCGAGACCCGGUCUUCACCAGCCACUUCUGGCAAGAACUCUUCAAGUAUGCAGGCUCGGAACUUCGGAUGAGCACAACCAACCACCCUCAAACGGACGGGCAAACUGAAAGGGUCAACCAGUGCCUAGAAACAUACCUGCGUUGCUUCACUCACGCAUGCCCAAGACGAUGGAGCUAUUGGAUUCCUUUGGCACAAUUUUGGUACAACUCAUCUUACCACUCUGCGAUAGGCAUGCCACCUUUCAAAGCUCUUUUCGGCCAGGAACGACGUCAUUGGGGGAUCACAACAUCUUGAACAUGCACGGUGCCGUCUCUGCAGAACUGGCUGGAAGAGAGAACAGUCAUCCAGGACAUGUUGCAGCAGCACUUAAAUCGAGCGCGUCAAUACAUGAAGACAUAGGCGGACAAGAAAAGAUCCUGGAGGCAAUUCGAGGUCGGAGAUGAAGUCUACCUCAAGCUCCAGCCAUACAUUCAGGCAUCUGUCGCUCCGCGGGCGAACCACAAGCUCUCCUUCAAGUAUUUCGGACCGUUUCCAAUAAUCGCAAAAAUCAAUGAGGUCGCCUACAAGCUCCAACUGCCAACCGAAGCUGCUGUACAUCCAGUCUUCCACGUCUCUCUGCUUCGUCGUGCGCUUCGCCCAGGAACUGAAGCCUCAACGCUUCUACCAGCGGACCAGGACGCGAAGGCCAUCCCGGUGGAGAUCCUCCAAACACGCUGGCGCAAGACGGCGGGGACAAUGAUCGAGCAAGUCCAGGUGCGCUGGUCACCAGGUUCUACGGUGGGCAUCACCUGGGAGGACAAGGCCGCGCUCUUCGACCGGUUCCCACGGGCGGAGGCUUGGGGGCAAGCCUCAACACAAGAAGGGGGGAUGUUAGCGCCCCUGACAUGCCGGCUCCACCGUCCACCAACGGAGGAACCAGCCCGGGCCAGCCUGUGCGUCACGCCAAGCCCAACAGAAGGGUGACUGGCCCAGAAUGGGUCCGGUAGGCCCAACGGGGCGUUGCUACUUAAGUCACCCACCGGGCUGGAGAGAGAUCCAUCCAGAGGAUCAACGAACCCGGCGGCGGCUACCAUUUCCCUGCUUGAACCCUAGUUCUCCUCAUUCUUGUAAUUCCAUCGAGUGUAUCCAGAUAUUGCCACUUCUUAAUAGAUCCUCAAGUAGAACCUAUCAUCAUGCUGCUGGUGGAUACUCACACGAACUAGGAUUAAUUCAUCUCAUAUUUGAUUCAGUUUUAAUCUCCUAUUCUAUUUGCUUUUGUUUGGAUGCAAUGCUUGCUUCAAUGAAAUUUGUUUGAGUGUAUCUAUGUUAUAUCUGAUGUGUAAUGGAUCAUUAUGACAUCUAUGAAUUUUGGUUAAUUUCUUGUGCAGAUCACAAUAACUUGAUUCCCAAUAUUAGCGGUAAUAUGAGUUUUGACAUGAUUUCAAAGUGCAUGCCUCCAUCGAAGUAUAUAUAUGUUACAAACUAAAAAAUGUCCAUGCUUCUUACAAAUUUACAAAUGCUUCUGUAAUCAAUCUUUUUGGCUUCCAAAUGCCAAAUAAUAAUGCAGAUAAAUCUAUAUGUUGGCCAUUCAAAACAUCCAUCCUUGAUAGCCAAAUACUUUUAGUUUUGCUUCAAUAUCCAUUAUGCUAUGGUUCAAUUUGAACCCAUGUAUAUAGUAUAUCUUCUAGGUAUCUUUUAUAUAGCAUAUUUUCAUCCAACCUACAAUCGGAACUUCAAAUAUGUAAUUUGCUUCCAUAGUUGCUAAUACCAUUGUUAUUCCUACUGAAACAUGCAAUGCUUCAAAAAUUAUAUUACAUAUCUUUCUUUCUUCCUUACAUUAGUGCUUCCAUAGUUCCAUCCUACAAAACCAAACCAUACAUUUUUUGUGCUUCCUUCAUACAAUUUUAAUUCUGACAACGUGUUAUAACCGGGCAGACUUAUGCCCGUAGGAGGCCCACCGGGCAGGUUUAGUUAGGUGCUGAGCCCACACGUUAUCUUAUUUUUAAUUUCCAUCAUGGUUAUAUAUACAAGUUGUAAGACUCUUUUGAGAAUUAAGCAAUAAGACAAAUCCUAUUGCCUGGCUCCCAGAGGAGCCGGAACCCUAAACCCUAACCGCACCUUGCGCUGCCGCCACCUCACCUCUAGAGCGCCACAGCGCUACACCGCCGGCAGCCGCGCUCAAGCAUUCACCAUCCCUCCUCUUUCCCAUACAACUUACGCCCUAGACCGGGUAGGUUCCUAGCUCCUACCAAUUUGGUAUCAGAGCUCUUGGGCCCGAUCAUGUCUGCAUAACCGCCCACCCCACCGCUACCUACCUCGCCGCUGCCCAUCACCACCGCAUCGCCAACUCUCUCCACCAUGCCACUCGCCCUCUCCACUGUGUUGCUGGGUCUCCCCACCGCGCCGCUCGGUUCCACCGCCGGGGCCGCCAUCGGCCAGACACCGCCCUCCACCACGCCGCCCGCCACCGCCUACUCCCCGGCGGAGAUCACCAGGGUCCUCAACGAUCUCGUCACCACCGUCCAGGGGAUACGGCUAUACCUGGCCAGCCCCUACGGGUUGCCGCUGUCGUUGCCGCCGGCCGCCGCGAUCGGGCCGGCUGGCCCCCGUGGUACUCGGCACUCGUGGCGCUUGCAGGGCCCCUCCACCACCACUGGCCGCCGCAGCCACCGCCCGCCGCCGUGCCACAAUGGCCGGCGCCAGCCCUCGUUGCGCCACCCACGCCGCCCGGGUCCUUCCUGCCGCAGCUACCGUUGUCGGCCCCGCCGCCACCUAGCACUUGGCCCGGGUCAACCAUGCAGGGAGGCGUGCCGAUCCAGCAAGUCUGCUUCCCGCCGUCGCCGUCCCCAAUUCUGGCCUGGCUGACCAGAUCAUCAUUGUCGCAUGUCUACACGUCGGCUGGGGACCCACUGGCGCCCAGUCUGCAGUACGGUGACCCAUCCGGCUCCGCGGGUCACUACAUGGGCCGUGCCAGCACUGACUGGGCAUCCCCAGCCUCGCUGCUCUGCACCUCCGAGCUAGUUGUCCAUAGCGCUCCGACCCAGACGCCGCCACGGUUCCCCAAAAUUGACUUCGCCACUUAUGACGGCACGGAGGACCCCCUCAACUGGCUCAACCAGUGCGAGCAGUUCUUUCACGGGCAACGCACCCUAGCAUCAGAGUGCACCUGGCUCGCCUCUUACCACCUCCGCGGCACGACACGGACAUGGUAUUACGCCCUCAAGCAGGACGAGGGCAGGAUGCCUCCUUGGGAGCGCUUUCGUGAGCUCUGCCUCCUUCACUUUGGGCCACCGAUCUGCGGGAGCCGCCUGGUAGAGCAAGGCCGCCUUCCCUUCACCUCCACGGUGCAGGACUUCGCCGACUAGUUUCAGGCCCUGGCACGCCACGCGUCGGGCAUGACGGUGCAGCAGCAGGCCGACCUCUUCAUUGGUGGACUUUCGGAUUGAAGAAAUAUGCCCUAGAGGCAAUAAUAAAGUUGUUAUUUAUAUUUCCUUAUAUCAUGAUAAAUGUUUAUUAUUCAAGCUAGAAUUGUAUUAACCGAAAACUCAGUAUAUGUGUGAAUACAUAGAAAAACAGAGUGUCACUAGUUUGCCUCUACUUGACUAGCUCGUUGAAUCAAUGAUGGUUAUGUUUCCUAACCAUAGACAUGAGUUGUCAUUUGAUUAACGAGAUCACAUCAUUAGAGAAUGAUGUGAUUGACUUGACCCAUCUGUUAGCUUAGCACGAUGAUCAUUUAGUUUGUUGCUAUUGCUUUCUCCAUAACUUAUACAUCUUCCUAUGACUAUGAGAUCAUGCAACUCCUGAAUACUGGAGGAACACUUAGUGUGUGCUACCAAACGUCACAACAUAACUGGGUGAUUAUAAGGGUGCUCUACAAGUGUCUUCGAUGGUGUUUGUUGAGUUGGCAUAGAUCGAGAUUAGGAUUUGUCACUCCGAUUGUCGGAGAGGUAUCUCUGGGCCCUCUCGGUAAUGCACAUCACUAUAAGCCCUUCAAGCAAUGUGACUAAUGAGUUAGUUGCGGAAUGAUGCAUUACGGAAUGAUUAAAGAGACUUGCCAGUAACGAGAUUGAACUAGGUAUUGAGAUACCGACGAUCGAAUCUCAGGCAAGUAACACACUGAUGACAAAGGGAACAACGUAUGUUGUUAUGCGGUUUGACCGAUAAAGAUCUUCAUAGAAUAUGUAGGAGCCAAUAUGAGCAUCCAGGUUCCCCUAUUGAUUAUUGACCGGAGACAUGUCUCGGUCAUGUCUACAUAGUUCUCGAACUAGUAGGGUCCGCACGCUUAACAUUCGGUGACGAUCGGUAUUAUGAGUUUAUGUGUUUUGAUGUACCAAAGAUAGUUCGGAGUCCUGGAUGUGAUCACAGACAUGACGAGGAAUCUCGAAAUGGUUGAGACAUAAAGAUUGAUAUAUUGGACAGCUAUAUUCGGACACCGGAAGUGUUCCGGGUGAUUUCGGAGAAAACCGGAGUACCGGAGGGUUACCGGAACCCCCUCGGGAGAACUAAUGGGCAACAUGGGCCUUAUUGCAGAGAGAGAGGGCCGGCAAGGGCAGGCCGCGCUCCCCCACCCCCUCUGGGACAAAUUGGAGUAGGGAAGGGGGCGGCACCCCCCUUUCCUUCUCCCUCUCCUCCUCCCUUACCCCUCCUAGGAGUAGGAAAGGGGAGUCCUACUCCUACUAGGAGGAGGACUCCUCUCCUGGCGCGCCCCAAGGGUCGGCCGGCCUCCCCCUUUCUCCUUUAUAUACGGGGGCAGGGAGCACCCUAGAACAAACAAUUUGAUUGUUUCCAGCCGUGUGCGGUGCCCCCCUCCACCAUAAUCCACCUCGGUCAUAUCGUAGUGGUGCUUAGGCGAAGCCCUGUUCCGGUAGCAUCAUCAUCACCGUCAUCAUGCCGUCGUGCUGACAAAGCUCUCCCUCAACAUUCUACUAGAUCUUGAGUUUGUGGGACGUCACCGAGCCAAACGUGUGUAGAUCGUGGAGGUGUCGUACCUUCGGUACUAGGAUCGGUCGAUCGUGAAGACGUACAACUACAUCAACUAUGUUGUCACAACGCUUCCUCUUACGGUCUACUAGGGUACAUGGACAACACUCUUCCCUCUCGUUGCUAUGCAUCACCAUGAUCUUGCGUGUGCAUAGGAUUUUUUUUGAAAUUACUACAUUCCCCAACACGGAUCACAUCCGCGUUGAUCUGGAGCUUCGGGGACCCUAGGAUCUCCAAACGACCAUGUAUUACACCCGCGCCUUCGAGUGUUGCGCCCACGCCAUGCAGCAGGCGGCCCCUACUCGAGGAGGCCGACAGGCCGCCAGGCAGCCCCCUGCGCGUGGCCGGCCACCCCCGGCCGCUCCGGCGACUACCACCCCGGCCGCGACGCGGCCCUUCUGUCGUCUCUCUCAGGUUGAGCAGCUGGAGCAUCGGCGUCACAGGCUUUGCUUAAACUGCGAUGAUCCCUACACGCCGGGCCAUGUCUGCCCGCGCCUCUUCUACUUGGAGACGGCCGACUGCGUCGAGGAGGACACCCCGGCUGACGGGCUCGGCGAGCUGCCGCCCCAAGCGGCUGCCGAGGCCGCCACCACGGCCGCCCCGGCGACGACACUCAUGGUCUCGCUCCAUGCGCUUGCCGGCAUCCGCAACGAGCGGACCAUGCUCUUGCUAGUGAUGAUACACGGCGAGCGCCUGGUGGACCUCUUGGAUACGGGCUCCACACAUAACUUCCUGCCCGUGGCUACCAUGUGCCACUUAGCAGUUUAGCUGACGGGUGGGGAGCAACUUCGGGUCACGGUGGCCAACAAUGACCGUCUCCAAUGUCAUGGGCUCACGCGGAAUGUUCCCAUCACCAUCAUCGACGAGCACUUCACCAUCACGUGCGCGGGCAUCAACUUGGGGUGCAUUGACUUCAUCCUCGGCGUUGACUUCUUGUGGACCCUCGGUCCCAUCCUCUGGGACUUCGACGCCCUGACGUUGACCUUCUGGAGUCUCGGUUGCCGCGCCCAGUGGGAGGGCGUUGGGGGUGCCUCACCGGCGACACCGCAACUCCAGCUAGCGGCGACCACUACCGAGGCCGAGCACCCACUGUUGGAUCACCUCCUACAGAAGCACGGUGACCUCUUCGAUGAGCCGCGGGGCUCCCGCCAGCCCGGGUGUAUGAUCACCACAUUAAUCGCCUGCCAGGCUUGGCGCCGGUGACAGUCUGGCCAUACCGCUAUCAGCAGCUGUAGAAGGACGAGUUGGAGCGGGAAUACACGCUCAUGCUCGCCGCGGGCAUCAUCCGGAUCUCCACAUCACCGUUCUCCGUGCCAUUUCUCCUCAUCCGCAAGUCAGACGGCACGUGGCGCUUCUGCAUUGACUACCACACCCUUAAUGCCCUGACGCUUAAGGACAAGUUUCCUAUCCCGGUGGUUGAUGAGCUCCUGGACGAGCUACAUGGGUCACACUUCUUCACCAAGCUCGAUCUCUGGCCGGGUUACCACCAGGUGCGCAUGCACCCGAAUGAUAUCACCAAGACGGCAUUUUGGACUCAUCACGGUCACUUCGAGUUCUUGGUCAUGUUGUUUGGUCUCUCCAAUGCACCAAGGACUUUUCAGGCUCUGAUGAACAACAUCCUCCGCCCCUACUUGCACCGGUUUGUGCUCGUUUUCUUUGAUGAUAUUCUUAUCUACAACCUCUCAUGGGCGGAGCACCUUCAGCACGUCGCCAUCGUCUUCAACGAGCUUCGAGCGCAUCAUCUUCAUCUUAAGCGCUCGAUGUCAGUGUCAAAACCGGCGGAUCUCAGGUAGGGGGUCCCGAACUGUGCGUCUAAGGCAGAUGGUAACUGGAGGAAGGGGACACGAUGUUUACCCAGGUUCGGGCCCUCUUGGUGGAGGUAAUACCCGACAUCCUGCUUGAUUGUUCUUGAUGAUAUGAGUAUUACAAGAGUUGAUCUACCAUGAGAUCAAAGAGGCUAAACCCUAGAAGCUAGCCUAUGGUAUGAUUGUAUGUUGUCCUACAGACUAAACCCUCUGGUUUAUAUAGACACCGGAGGGAGCUAGGGUUACACAAGGUCGGUUACAAAGGAGGAGAUAUACAUAUCCGUAUUGCCUAGCUUGCCUUCCACGCCAAGUAGAGUCCCAUCCGGACACGGGACAAAGUCUUCAAUCUCGUAUCUUCAUAGUGCAACAGUCCAGUCAAAGGAUAUUGUCCGGCUGUCCGGAGACCCCCUAAUCCAGGACUCCCUCAAUAGCCCCUGAACCAGGCUUCAAUGACGAUGAUUCCGGCGCGUAGUGUUGUCUUCGGCAUUGCAAGGCGGGUUCCUCCUCCGAAUACACCGUGGAAGAGUUUGAAUACAAGGAUAGUGUCCGACCCUGCAAAAUAAGUUCCACAUACCACUGUAGAGAGAAUAAUAUUUUCACAAAUCUAAUCUGCUGACACAUUUGACAACAUGACAUCACGCCAUGGCCCGGUCAUUAUUUGAACCAUUUUUCUCAACCAGCUCCGCACAUAACGCGAGGCGGUUUUCUUGACACGCCUUGUCAAAGCAGAGAUCGUGUCCCCCUUAUCACGGGAUUCUCAUCAAUACAGACGUGGGUAACCCAAUCAUGCAUGUUGGUAUGACUCCUAAAUCUNNNNNNNNNNNNNNNNNNNNNNNNNNNNNNNNNNNNNNNNNNNNNNNNNNNNNNNNNNNNNNNNNNNNNNNNNNNNNNNNNNNNNNNNNNNNNNNNNNNNNNNNNNNNNNNNNNNNNNNNNNNNNNNNNNNNNNNNNNNNNNNNNNNNNNNNNNNNNNNNNNNNNNNNNNNNNNNNNNNNNNNNNNNNNNNNNNNNNNNNNNNNNNNNNNNNNNNNNNNNNNNNNNNNNNNNNNNNNNNNNNNNNNNNNNNNNNNNNNNNNNNNNNNNNNNNUUAUGUCCGGAUCCAACCUUCAAGGUCGGUGGAUGCCUUCCUCCGUCACAAAGGAGGACAUCAAGAAGUUGAGAGAGGCCAGAUAUCUGACCGCCGAAAUUGCGCAUAGGCUGCCUGCCCGAGGGCAGGUCGUCCCUACUCCCGAACCCAACGAGAGCGUCGUGUUCAUCUCCCACUUCCUCCGAGGACUAGGCCUCGCUCUAGAUCCCUUUGUUAGGGGUCUUAUGUUCUAUUAUGGGCUGGAUUUUCACGAUCUGGCCCCGGAUUCGCUUCUUCACAUCUCGUCAUUUAUUGUCGUAUGUGAGGCCUUCCUCUGCAUUACCCCUCACUUCGGCCUGUGGCUCAAGACCUUCGAUGUGAGGCCGAAGAUGAUCGAGGGGCGGCACGCAGCAUGUGGAGGUGAUUUAAUAAGCAAAAUCGCUGAUGCUCCAUGGCCAGAGGGUUCCUUCCCAGAGGUGUCCGGAUUGUGGCAGCAGGAGUGGUUUUACAUCACAGCUCCCCGAAGUGCCAAGUGGGUAGCUGCCCCCACCUUUCGCUUGGGCCCCCCACCGCAACUGAUGUCAUGGAUCAGCAGGGGCUGAGCUGGGGUCCAGCAAAGGACGUGCCAAUAUCGCAGAGCCGUAUCCAAGAUCUCUUUGAGAGAGAUUUCAGUCUGGUUAUGGUAAUGCAAGUUAUGCUAGUUUGCCGAGUCCAUCCUUGCAAACGUCGGCCCCUCCGCAUGUGGGAAUUCAACCCGGAAGGACCGUGAGCUAUUCCACAUUUCCUCGGCAUAACACUCGAAGAGAUGUACAAAUUGUUCUUCGGACCCCAAAUAGAGUGUUCGGACACCACCGAGGGCGUGGGUCUGAGCUGCAAUCGCCCCGCUACCCAAGUAAGUAAUCCCAUGUCGAACCUACUGUCCUUUUAUUUAUCAUGGCAUCAUUCUAAAGAGCCGCUCUUUGACCAAGACUGGAUAACAAAGGCGAUGAUGAUUAGGUGUUCGGCCCCCCUUCCCGAGGGCUUGGACAAUCCGGUACUGGACAAGAUGCUCGAGCCGGUGCCUUAUCCAGUGCCCUCAAAGGAAGAUGAUGGGGGAAUAGAGAGGGCAAAAGCGGGCCUCACUCGCUACUUAUUCCAGCCGGGGGAAUGAGCGCCUCCAUGAGGGAGGACAACCAAAGGGAAGAAUCUGACAUUCUCUCUCCCUGGGGAAGGAAGAGGACUACCUGUGAAGAUCCAGGAACUAAGGUUUCCAAACGGGAGAAGAAAUCUUCAUCAGAGGGUCCUGCCUCGGAGGGUAUUCUUGCUGCACAAUGUCCGUGCGGGGAUCAACCCUCUACCGAGCUGUAAGUAAUCGAAAAGUACUUAAUAGUGGAAACAUCCUACCUAACUUCCAAAGACAAUAACCGAUGCUUGUAAAUUGUAGUCCGGAUCAUAGCCCUUCUCGACAGAGUUCGUCUUCGGGGGAUCUUCUUCCGGAGAUGAUGGAGAGCGAAACGCCUCCCCCUGACACCCCGCCUCAUGAAGCAAGCGACUUUGAAGUGUCAUCAUGAAGGGUAUCUCCAGAUCCACUAAGGCAAGAGGAUAACCCUUUGGCUACCCGGAAUCCCUAGUAUCCGGCUCCUAAGGAGAGCGACAGCAAGGGUCCGUACAGUGUGCGGUCGGACGUGCUGAAGGAUCUUCUGGGGCAAGCGGCCAUCUCGGAAGCGCAUCGUAUGCUAAUGGGUACGGUGAUUGAAAGGAUUUCAUCCGCUGAAAGCGGUUUGCAUGAAGCCUUUAUGAGUCCGCUGAAAGGCUUCGAGGUACGUGAAAUAGUGUAUGUUUUUGAUAGUACCACAUACGUAAGGUGUGCCCUAUGCAGAUAGUAGCCCCUGAGACUCUGGUUAUCGUCAAGAACGGCGGCAACCCGAGGAUCAUAUACCCAGGUAAUAAUUCGAUUGCCUUCAUGUGCAGGUGGCUGAGGCUACGGUGGCUAGCCGAACUGAUGGAUUUACCGAGCUAAAGCGGCAACUUGAUGCGGCCGAUGCGGAUAUCGUGCUUGUCAACCAGCGGCUUGACAAGGCACAAGGUGAGUGAUUUCUAUGGUGAUCAUCACAUAAUAAGAGUAGCAUGAUGCCAGUAUCUUUAAUAUGUUGUGACUGCAGAUGGAGCUGCCACCGUGGAGACCCUUCGGGUGGAGCUUGCUCGAGCCAAGGAGCAAGCAAGGAGUAGCAAUGCGGCCGCUCUAAAGGCGGCCAUAGAGUUAAGGGCCGAACAGGCCACGCAUUGCGAGAGCAAGGAAAAAAUAGCCAAGAUGGCUGUAGAGUUAAAAGAUGCCGCUGACCGUUACCAGCUUCUUGAAGAAGAAAACCAGGCAAAGGAGACGGACCUGGAGAAGGCCCUGGUGGCUGGCAAGGAAGCGCGCUCCAAAAUUAGAGCGACGAAGGAGGAGCUGAAUCAAGCUGCAGAUAUCGUGUCUGGGAAGCCCUUCUUGUUGCGGACUAAGUUCGGAGAUCCGAAGUAUGCUCCUCGGGACCGGCUAUGGAGUUCUGCGGAUGCCUACAUGGAUUUGGCUGCAAGUGCUGCUGAUGCGGCCGAGUACUUCAAGGAUCAGAAAGGCCCCGAAGUGGAAAAGCUGUUCUGGUCAUAGUUUCAUGCUCCAGUCCGUCCGCUGCUGUUGAAUGAGCGAAUGGCCAAGUGGGUCGAGCUCCAUAGGUUGUCCGGACUUGCCAUGAGGUCCGUUGUGGAUCACCUGUGGCUAGGAGGGCUAAGGCCGAAUAACUACUUUAGUUUAGUGCAACAAUUCCUUGGUGAUGUGCCACGCAUCGAUGCUGUAAAGAGAUCGGCGUGCAUAGAGGGUGCGCGGAUGGCCUUUGCCCGUGUCAAGACAUACUGGGCGGAGAUGGAGGCCACCACUGUUGUGACACAGGGUUCGGCCAUAGGCCGAGUGGCUACCGAGCACUACUUUGAAGAAGUUCUUGAAGGCGCUCGUUCGAUAGAGGCUUAGUGCUCGAAGAAUAUUAUGUUCUAGUGACAUGUAUUCCCAUUGUAAAAACAAUGUUUUAUUGAAUUAUCAAGGCUGGAUUUAUACUUUUGCCCGUAAGUACUAUGAUGCCUCUUGUGCGGCCGUUUAUGUAUAUAUGUAUAUAACCUGAAAGUUUGCAGUCGUCGGCUUCCGCCCCCACGCAUAUAAUGCGGGGGUGUUCGCAGAAAAUUCAUAUCCACACUUGAUCCAAUGUCUUGGUCCAUUAAGGAGGUGAUAGCACAGCGAACGAGGCAAUCGGACUAUAUUGCUUUAACACUUUCACUUAGCCAUAAGAGUUUGACGGUGGGGCUACUAUAUAGCCCCUGGUAAUUCUGCGCUCGUCUGAAUACGGGGCAUGUGCAUACAUGACCGUGAAACGGCCCUUCGUUAAUGUGGAGGAAUCCCGAAGAUUCCGUUGAGUCAUCGAGUGGUUGACCAGUCUCUCUCUAUAUCAUGACAGUUAGUUUUUGGCUUUCUCUACUGAGGUGCUCAUCCGGAUGAACCAGGGCACAAUCGCAGUAGUUCUCCCAGUGCUACCUUAGCCGAUAUAAUGGAACGUAAGGUACCAAAACGUGGGAGCCGGGCAAACCCAACAUGUGACCAAAGACAUGAUUCAGAGCUGAUGCAUGUAGGGCCAAACUCGCGACGCCGAACACUCCCUAAGGUGUUCGGUCUUUAUAACAUAUACCGGGCUAAAAAAUGCCCUUAAUAAGAAACCCCAUGUGUCCAGGUACGUGCAAAAUCCUGACGUGGCCACAUGCCAAUAACGCCAGCAUCCUUCUCGGUUGUGUGGAGUAUCCGGAGGAUGUGAGCAACAAGAGACAGUAAAAAAGGUUUACACAGGGUCUUAAUCUAAAAAGAAACCUUUGGGCGGGUCCCUGCUACACGUCUGCGCCUAUGUCUCCAUUGUGCCGUGUCCUGGACGGGUGUAGCACGAUUGUCAUCUGUAAAAGGAAAGAACUUAGGUGAGAGUUGCCGUGCCAAAAAGAAGAAUUGGUUAUUAUCAAUGAACUAUCAAGAUUCAAGAGAAGCCUAGUUGAGCCGGGUUGGCCCUGAUUACAUGCGGGAAGCCCCUGGUAUCAUUUAUGAGGGUUUGAUCAUCAAACCAAUCUCAUGUAUAUAUGAUGGAAUGCCGGAUUCGUUUAACCAUGUCCGUGGUCUUGACGACCUGCCAUUUUUUCUGGUUGGUGAGGCCGUCUAGUUUGCGGCUGUUAGAGCCGCCGCAUCCUCUUCCGUACGUAAGAAAUGUUCGGUAUUUCCGCUAACUGAGAUGAUGCCACAUGGACCGGUCAUCUUAAGCUUGAGAAAAGCAUAAUGUGGUAUUGCGUUAAAACGAGCGAAAGCCAUUCUUCCGAGUAGUGCUUGAUAACCACUUCGGAAUGGGGCGAUGUGAAAAGUUAACCUUUCACUUCGGAAGUUAGCGGGAGAACCGAAUACCACCUCUAGUAGUAGAGAUCCCGUACAGCGGGCCUCUUGGCCUGGUAUUACUCCCUUGAAGGUAGUAUUACUAUGGCUUAUUUGUGUCGGGUCUAUCUCCAUUUUGCGGAGUGUGUCCUGAUAUAUCAGAUUUAGAUCACUGCCGCCGUCCAUGAGGACUCGUGUGAAAUGGUACCCAUUUAUUAUUGGGUCUAACACCAAGGCCGUCAUUCCUUCAUGUCGGAUAUUUGUCUCGUGAUCCCUACGAUCAAAAGUGAUCGGGCAGGCUAACCAGGGGUUGAACCUAGGGGUGACGGGCUCUAUGGCGCGUGUGCCUCGGAGUGCAUGCUUGCUUCUCCUCUUUGUCACAUGGAUCACGUUUACUGUUUUAACCUCUGGUGGGAACUUUUUCUGUCCUCCGGCGCUUUGCUGGCGAGGUUCAUCCUCGUCUUCGCUUGGUGUCUCUUCCCCUUUGUGUUCGGCGUUUAGCUUAUUAGCCUCCUUGAAGACCCAACAUUCUCUGUGGGUAUGAUUUGCAGGUUUGUCUGGGCUGCCGUGAAUCUGACAAAGUUUGUCAAGAAUUUUGUUUAGGCCAGAUUGUCCUUCUCUGCUUCCUUUGAAAGGCUUUUUUUGCCGACCUGGUCGGGAGCCCCUGAAUCCGGCGUUUACCGCCGUGUUAUCUGGGCUACCUUCUUUAUUUCGACGCUUGUUUUUGUUGCGUCAUGGUUUACCAUUGCCAUCCCUAACUUUGGAUGUGCUUGGGUCGCUGGUGCUGCUAUGGGCCAACCAGCUGUCCUCGCCCGCACAAAAGCGGGCCAUGAGGCUUGUUAGGGCUGCCAUUGUUCUCGGUUUUUCUUGGCCGAGGUGUCUGGUGAGCCAUUCGUCUCGGACGCUGUGUUUAAAAGCUGCUAAGGCUUCGGUAUCCGGACAGUCGACGAUUUGGUUCUUCUUGGUGAGGAACCUAUUCCAAAGCUUUCGGGCGGACUCUCUGGGCUGUUGGAUUAUAUGACUUAAAUCGUGUGCAUCCGGAGGUCGGACAUAAGUCCCUUGAAAAUUGGCCCGAAAAGCGUCCUCGAGCUCCUCCCAACUUCCAAUUGAGUUUUUAGGGAGGCUUUUCAGCCAGUGCCAAGCUGGCCCUUUAAGCUUGAGGGGCAAGUAUUUAAUGGCAUGGAGAUCGUCUCCACGAGCCAUAUGAAUAUGGAGGAUAAAGUCCUCUAUCCAGGCUCCAGGGUCUGUGGUCCCGUCGUACGCCACUAUGUUCACCGUUUUGAAUCCCUCUGGGAAUUCGUGAUCCAGCACCUCAUGAGUGAAACAUAAGGGGUGUGCGGCACCCCUGUAUUGGGAUGUGCCAUGGUGUUCGGACGGUUGUAGUAUUCGGUGUUGGCUUUGUACCAUAGCACGCUUCCUAGAUCCAUAGAUGGAUCUGGUCACAUCGGAUUUUUGACGCAAGUUCUCACAUAGAUCGUGUGUUGACUUAUGCAUGACUUUGUUAGCCGCUCUAUCACGUUCACAUGGUGGUGGAUCCGACCAGUUGGCCGUAUCAUUCUUUGGCUGUAUGGGCUCUAAGGCCUCAUCGUCGAAUUCCGGUAAUAGCUUGCGCUUUGGAUAGCUAUUUUUAUGGUAACUUUCACCAUACUUUGUUACUUUGUUCACCUGCUGUUGAGCGUAUCUUGUGCGACCUUGAGCCUUUGCUUCUGUUUCUUCAGGCUCCUCGAUGUGGCAAUAAGCCUUCUGUGGAGGUUCUCUUGCUCCAAGUGCAUUUCCGGGAUGAUGUGUGCAUCUUCAUCCGGACUGUUUUCUUCCCCAGACGGGGUUUGAUGAGGCUUAUCCUUGGCAUCGUCGUGUUCGGACGUUGGAUCCGUACUAUGUUUGCAGUUUGCAUCUUGAUUGUGCUCUGCAAUCGGGGUGGUGUAGUCGUCGUUUCUUCUAGAGUCGACUGGACUGUUAUUUCCUCUUGCGCUGUUAUCGCUGUUUUUGCUAUGGCGGGAGUUAGAGCGGUGCCGCUGACGUCGGUGCUUGGGUCGCUUGGAGGGGGCAUCCUCCGCUGUCUCUUGGCCAUUGCCCUCUCUGGGUGUAUCCAGCAUGUAUAUGCCAUGUGAUGAAGUGGCGAUCCAGCGGCCUAUGGGCAAUGGUUCCUGUUCGUCUCUUGCAUCGUCGUCCAUACCGUUGAUGUCUUUGGAGUCGAAGUCGAGCAUGUUGGUUAAGCCGUCGACAGUGGCUACUAAGUGGGUGGUGGGUGGGCAGCGAAUUUCUUCGUCGUCCGCAUCCCAUUCUAGCCGGACAUACUUCGGCCAAGGUUCUCCUGACAGGCAGAGAGACCUUAAUUAAUUUAGCACAUCUCCGAAAGGUGAGUGCUGAAAGAUAUCCGUGGAGGUGAACUCCAUGAUCAGCGCCCCGUCGGAUUCGACGGGCAUAGAUGUAGGCAGCUCGGAGUCCGUGGCCGGAGGUAAAUCCAGUGGUUCGGCCACGCGGCUCUCGAAAGGGGUGAAGUCAGUAUCUGGCUCUAUCGCCACUGAGAGUGCGGCCUCCAUGGCGGGGUUUAUCCCUCCGCUCUUGGAUGGCGCGAUUUGCUCCGGAUUAACGUCCGGAGUAGUUGCGGAAGUGAUCUCCCGAACACUAUCCGACGGCAGAGUUACAUCAUGCUCGUCGCGACUGCGCGGCGCGUCUGACAUGGGCUCGAAUCCGUCGAAGAUCAAGUCUCCGCGGAUGUCGGACGUGUAGUUCAAGUUUCCAAAUCUGACCUGAUGGCCAGGGGCGUAGCACUCGAUCUGCUCCAGAUGGCCAAGCGAAUUGGCCCGCAGUGCGAAGCCGCCGAAUACGAAGAUCUGUUCGGGGAGGAAAACCUCGCCCUGGACCACAUCGCUAGUGAUGAUCGAAGGAGCCAUCAAGCCUUAUGGUGACGACACAGUGGAACUCUCAAUGAAAGCACCAAUGUCGGUGUCAAAACAGGCGAAUCUCGGGUAGGGGGUCCCGAACUGUGCGUCUAAGGCGGAUGGUAACAGGAGGCAGGGGACACGAUGUUUACCCAGGUUCGGGCCCUCUUGAUGGAGGUAAUACCCUACGUCCUGCUUGAUUGUUCUUGAUGAUAUGAGUAUUACAAGAGUUGACCUACCACGAGAUCAAAGAGGCUAAACCCUAGAAGCUAGCCUAUGGUAUGAUUGUAUGUUGUCCUACGGACUAAACCCUCCGAUUUAUAGACAUCGGAGGGGGCUAGGUUUACACAAGGUCGGUUACAAAGGAGGAGAUAUACAUAUCCGCAUUUCCUAGCUUGCCUUCCACCCCAAGUAGAGUCCCAUCCUGACACGGGACGAAGUCUUCAAUCUCGUAUCUUCAUAGUCCAACAGUCCGGCCAAAGGAUAUUGUCCGGCUGUCCGGAGACCCCCUAAUCCAGGACUCCCUCACUCGAAGUGCUUCUUCGGGAUGCCUUCAGUCGCCUACCUCGAACACGUCAUCUUGUCCAAGGGGGUGGCCAUGGAUGCCGACGAGGUGGCGGUCGUCCUCGCCCGGCCGACCCCGCAUUCACCAUGGGCCCUUUGCGGUUUUCUGGGCCUCGCGGGGUACAACCAGAAAUUUAUCCGGGAAUUCGGCCUCAUUACAUCACCACUCACACGCCUGCUACGUCGCGACGCCUUUGUCUGGGAUGAGGAGGCGACUGUGGCAUUCGAGGCCCUCAAGGGGGCCCUCACGACAGGCCCCGUCCCUGGACUUCGACCAGCUGUUCGUCGUGGACUGCGACACCUCCCGUGCGGGGUUCAGCGCCGUUCUUCAUUAGGGCGAUGGACCCCUCGCCUUCUUCAGCAGACCCUUUGUCGCGCGCCAUCUUAAGCUCGUGGCUUAUGAGCGAGAGCUGAUUGGCUUGGUGCAUGCGGUGCGCCAUUGGCGGCCCUAUCUGUGAGGUCGGUCUUUUCGGAUUCGCAUGGACCACUACAGCCUCAAGUUCUUGUUGGACCAGAGGCUCUUGACUAUGCCACAACACCAGUGGAUCAGUAAGCUCUUCGGCUUUGACUUCACCGUCGAGUAUCGACUGGGCCGCCUUAACUCCGUGGCUAACGCCCUGUCUCGCUGCAAUGCCGACCACGACACUGUCGUAGGUGACUCCAAGGGGGCGGCGCUCUGCAUCCGCUCAAGGCCCACUUUCUCCCUCUUCACCGACAUCCGCCGGGCGACAACGGCCGCGGCGGACACGCUCCUCCUUCAACAGCAGCUGGCUACGGGUGAGCUGGAGGAGAUGUGGCGCCUCGCCGAUGGGUUGCUCCUGCAUGGGAGACGGGUCUUCGUGCUGGCGCACGACGAUCUCCAUCACCAGGUGCUGCUGCUGGCCCACUUGACGGGCGAUGAGGGUGUGCGGAAAACCCUCCAUCGUCUCUGCGCCGACUUCUACAUUCCAGGUGAUCGGGCCCUGGUCCCCGACUGGGGGCGGUCUUGUGUGACGUGCCAGCAUAACAAGAUGGAGACACUACGACCGGCUGGUCUACUCCAGCCCUUGGAGGUGCCUUCUAAGGUCUGGGCGGAUAUCUCCAUGGACUUCAUCGAGGGCCUCCCCAAGGUGGGCGACAAAUCGGUCAUUCUCACGAUGGUCGACCACUUCUCCAAGUAUGCUCACUUCAUCGCGCUCGGCCAUCCCUAUACUGAUGCAUCCAUGGCCCGUGCCUUCUUCGACGGUAUCAUCCGCCUCCACGGGUUUCCCUCUUCGAUCGUCAGCGAUCGGGACCCGGUAUUCACCGGACAUGUCUGGCGUGAUCUCUUUCGGUUGGAGGGCGUGAAGCUCCGCCUGAGCACGGCCUUCCAUCCCCAGACGGACGGCCAAUCCGAGGUUGUCAACCAGGUGAUUACAAUGUAUUUGUGUUGUGUCACAGGUGAUCAUCCUGGCACUUGGGUGGAUUGGUUCUCGUGGGCGGAGUACUGCUACAACACCACCUAUCACUCCGCCCUACACGCCUCUCCAUUUGAGGUGGUCUACGGCCGACCUCCCCCGCCCAUACUGCCGGUUGAUCUGGCGACGACUCGGAUGAAGGCGGCCGGUGAUCUUAUGCGGCGCCGUGAUGAGAUGUUGGCAGAGGUCCGACAACGCCUCCUUCAGGCCCAGCAGCUAGCCAAGCAAUACUACGACGACCACCAUCACGAGGCGGAAUUUGCGGUGGGUGAUUGGGUGUGGCUGCAUCUCCUUCACUGCUCUACGCAGUCACUGGACCCACACGCGAAGCGCAAGCUGGGUCCUCGCUAUGCCGAGCCCUUUGCUGUCUUGGGGCGCAUCGGGGAGGUGGCCUACCGUCUUCAGCUUCCGGCCGGUGCCCACAUCCACGACGUCUUCCAUGUGGGGCUGUUGAAGCCCUUUCGUGGGGAGCCACCUGCGGCCCCUCCAGCGCUUCCUCCGACCUCCUAUGGGCGCCUCCUUCCGAGGCCGGAGAAGGUGUUGCAGGCCCAGCUACGUCGAGGGGUGUGGUACGUGUUGAUUCAGUGGGCUGGACUUCCGGAGGAGGACGCUACUUGGGAGCAGCGUGACGAGUUCCGCCAACACUACCCAGACUUCCAGCUUGAGGACGAGCUAUUUGUGCGGGCGGGGAGAGAUGUUAUGACCAGGCAGACUUAUGCCUGUAGGAGGCCCAUGGAGCAGGUUUAGUUAGGGGCUUAGCCCACAAGUUACCUUAUUUUUUAUUUCCAUCGUGGUUAUAUAUACAAGUCGUAAGACUCUUUUGAGAAUUAAGCAAUAAGAGAAAUCCUAUUGCUCGGCUCCCAGAGGAGCGGGAACCCUAAACCCUAAUCGCACCUUGCACCGCCGCCUCGCCUCUAGCGCGCCACGACGCCCCGCCGCCGGCAACUGUCGGUGUCAAAACCAGCGGAUCGAGCAGGGGGUCGCAAACUGUGUGUCUAAGGUUGAUGGUAACACGAGACAGGGGACACAAUGUUUACCCAGGUUCUGACCCUCUCUAUGGAGGUAAUACCCUACUUCCUGCUUCAUUGAUCUUGAUGAAUAUGAGUAUUACAAUAGUUGAUCUACCUCGAGAUCGUAAUGGCUAAAACCCUAAAAGUCUAGCCUAUGUGAUUAUGAUUGUCCCUAUGAACUAAACCCUCCAGUUUAUAUAGUCACUGAAGGGGACUAGGGUUGUACAAAGUUAGUUACAGAGAAAGGAAUCUUCAUAUCCAAACGCCAAGCUUGCCAUCCAUGCCAAGGAUAGUCCCAUCCGGACACGGGUAAGAGUCUUCGAUCUUGUAUCUUCGUAGCCCAUCAGUACGGCCCAUGUCCAAUAGGCCGGACGCCCGAGGACCCCUUAGUCCAGGACUCCCUCAGUAGCCCCUGAACUAGGCUUCAAUGACGAGGUGUCCGGUGUGCAGAUUGUCUUCAGCAUUGCAAGGAGGGUUCCUCCUCCGAAAAUUCCGAACAGUCUUCGAACACAAAGAUCGUGUCUGGAUCCGCAAAACAAGUACCACACACCACCGUAGAGAGUUUAAUAUUUCACGAGUCCAAUCUGCUGACAACUUUUUGUAACAUGAUAUCAUGUCCCUGCCCGGUUAUUAUUUCAAACCAUUUCGGCCUGCUGCUCCAUAUUUUGAGAUGCGGCUUUAUUGGCACGUCUUGUCAAAGAAGAGAUCAAGUCCCCCUAUUGCGGGAUUUUCAUCAAUACAGGAUAGGUAAUCCAACCGUGCCAUCAGCACGACCCAUGGGGAAUAGGCGAGUUUUAUGGCGAGUGGGGAGGCGCUUGACAUUCACUGCCUUUAUAAGGAGAUAAGGAUUCACAUCUUUCACCCAUGCCUUCUCUCCACCUACCCACUCUCAAGCUCCAGUGACCAAGUUCUCAUCCUUUCCGCCUCAAGAAAGCACUCCAACCAUGUCCGGAGCGCAGGGCAAGUGGAUGGCCUCCACCGUCAAGGAGAAGGAUAUCGUCCAACUUAGGGAGGCCGGAUAUUUGGCCAAGGAAAUCGCCCAUCGGCUUCUUGCUAAGGGAUAGAUUGUCCCCACUCCGGAGCCCCAUGAGAGGGCCGCGUUCAUCCCUCACUUUGUCCGCGGGCUAGGAUUUCCUCUCCACCCAUUCAUCCGCGGACUCAUGUUCUACUACGGGCUGGAUUUCCAUGAUCUGGCCCCCAAUUCCUUCCUCACCAUCUCGGCGUUCAUCGUCAUGUGUGAGGCCUUCCUCCACAUCCCCCCACUUCGGACUAUGGAUAAAUACCUUCAAUGUGAAGCCGAAGGUGGUGGGCGGCGAACACGCAGAAUGUGGAGGCGCCGUGGUGAGCAAAAUGUCCAACGUCCCGUGGCCCAAAGGCACCUUCGUGGAGACCGUCAAGGGGUGGCAGAAGUUGUGGUUCUACGUCAAAGAGCCCCACGAUCCUGCCUGGGCCACGGCUCCCGAAUGCAAAUCCGGGGCACUGAUGUGGCUUACCUCCUGUUAGGAGAAGGGCCUGGAUUGGUCUUCGUUGGACGAGCUGACAUCGCUUCAAACGCGCAUCAGGAGCAUGAUGGACAAGAACGUCAAGCUUGUUGAUGUGAUUCAGGUGAUGCUAAUUCGCCUGAUCCUUCCAUGCUAGAACCGGGCUUGCCAUCUAUGGGAGUUCAAUCCGGCCAAGCACAAGACCUUGUGACAAUUCUUCGGAACUACGCACGAAGAUAUCUGGAAGGUGCUCUUCAAGGCCAAUGAGAUGUGGCCGGAGACAAUCGAGGACUGCAGGCACGAUCUAGCCCAUCCCACCAGUUCGGUAAGUUUUCCGUGCUUCAAGGCGUAUCCCUUUCUUGCAUGCUCAAGGAGGAUGUCCCAACUUCCCUAUUUUCCUUUUCAAGGUUGGACAAAGAAGGCGGAGCAGAUUCGGUGUUUGGCUUCGCUGCCCGAGGAACCAGCCAUCCCGCUUUUGACAAAGAUGCUGGUUCCGGCGCCCUACGUGGCGCCAGAGAAGAAGGCCAAGAAGAAGGCCAAGGGGACCAGAGGAGGCCUCCAUCCCAAGGGUACUUCAGACAUGGCGUCCGAAGACGCCGAAACUCACUCUGUCGCCGAAGACGACGAGGAGGAGGGAGAGGAGGAAGAAAGCAACUCCCCCUUCCCCGAGGGGGGAAAGGAGAGAGCGGCCUCCACAGAUCUAGAAGCAGAGGCGUCCAAGAAGGGAAAGGCUUCCCUCAUGGAUAACUCCGUGUGGGACGUCGAUAGCAGCCUAGAACGGCGCCCUCGAAAUAAGCCCCUGGCCGAAUCGUGAGUAUCCGAAGACCCUAUCGCAUUCAUAUAUCCUCCUAUUUUACUUCAUAAUUUUAACAUGUUGAACCAUGUACUUGCAGUCCGGCUCGUUCCGCCCUUGAGCGAUCCUCGUCUUCGGGGAACACACUGGACCCGAAGGUGAUGGACAGCGGGUCCCUUCCAAUGGCCUCCUCUCCCAGGGCCAUGGAUGACACCGAGGUGUUGUCCCGAAGGAUCCCCGACCAGGGAGAGAUGCAGGAGGCCGUCAGGAUGGCGCUAGAGGGCGAGACCUCGGCCGCCGGACACAUGGGGGAGCAGAUCCCCAUGGAGACUGGCGAUGGGGGCCACGUCCAAUUUGGCCCCCAGCCGAAUACGGUCCCGGAGACCUAUACAGUUCCGGAAUCUGGCAAGCAGCCUCCUUCAUCGGAAGGAGGUGUGCCCACUCCACCGGUGACCUCUGUACAUCUAGAGGCGCCGGAUACUCUAUAGAAGUGCUGCAAAGUGCUUCCAUCAUCGAGGAACACCAUACCCUCAUGGGUGCGGUGAUUGAGAAGAUUCAGUCUGCGAAGAGUGGACUGACCGAAGCCUGCUCAAGCCUUCUAAUAGGCUUUGAGGUAAGAUCUACAUUUAUGUAAAAAGAGAGUUACAAUAUAGACAGUAGCCCCUGAGACUCUGUUCGGGGUUCAGAAAGAAAAGCCGAACAGAGGAUCAAGUAGUUUUUCGCAGGAGACUAACCAUGUGUGUCUAUGUGAAUAAGCAGGCGUCGCUGCUAGCCAUGACUUCUCAUGCUGCCGAAGUCUCUGGAUUGAAGCGGAGGCUGGAACGGACCAAGGAAGAGCUCGGCCGUACGAAAAAGCAGCUGGAGGAUACCCAAGGUAUGCAAUGAUCUUGUGUAUGUCCGGAAGGGAUGAAUGAUGUGAGCUAAUCAUAGUGCCAUGACAUUUAUUAGGGGAGGCGGCCAAGGUGGAGGCCCUCGAGAAGGCGCUGGUAGAGGCCAAGGAGAGAGCGGCAAAGGAACAAGCCGCUCAUGAAAAACACGAGGCCAGGGUUAGCAAGGUCCAGCAGGAUCUCCAGGAUGUCGUGCAAAAAUGCGAGUCCUUGGAGCGCCAGAAUGCGGACCAAGAGUCCGAACUUUCUAAGGCCCACCAAAGCGCGCAAGAGGCCCGAACCGAAGCCCAAGGCGCCCUCCCAGAAAUCCAAGAGGCCACGAAAAUCAUGGCGGGUAAGGCUUUCAUUAUGCAAAGCAAGUAUGUGAUGAAGAAGUAUCUCUUACUGACCCGGAUUUGGAGUUCUCCAGGGGCGUUUGUGGAUCUGCCGCGUAGUGUUUAUGAUGCUGCGGAGUUCUUCCGAACCGAAGAGGGGAGCUCAAUGGAGAAGCUGUUCUGGUCACAAUACCUUGUGCCAGAACAUCUGGUGCCAUUUAGCGACCAGCUAAAACAGCUGGUCGAGUUGCACAGGGUGGCCGAACUAGCCAUGAAGGAUUUAAUAAUCCGGCUAUGGCCUGCGGAAGCCCUACCCGGCAGCUACUUUGGACUCGUGAAGCGGCUGGUCAAUGCCUGCCCUCGGCUUGACGCCAUCAAGUGGUCGGUCUGCAUAGAAGGUGCGCGGAUGGCCUUCGCCUGUGUCAAGAUACAGUGGGCGAAGAUGUACGCCGUCAAGCUCGCGACCGAAGGACCGCCCGAGGGCAAGGAGCACCGCACGCCCGAGCAGUAUUUUCCGGAUGUUCUGAAGGGAUCCCGCAUUGUGGUGGAACAAUGUACUAAGGACAUUAUGUUUGAAUGAAUACAUUCAUGUUAUUCCGUCCCGUAUGAUGAAAACAAGGCUUGAUAUGUAAUAUAAUGCUUUGUUGUUUGUUUAUUUAAAGUUUUACCUCUUGUGCGGCCAUUUCAUCAAGUCUGAGAGUUGGCCAGUCAUCGGCUUCAGCCCCCACGUAGGUAGUAUGGGGGUGUUCGGGAUGAAUCUAAAUACUCCUUAUCCAAGAGUUUGGUCCUUAAAGGAGGUGUUUAGCGCAACGAACCAGGCAAUCAGACUAUGUGGCUUUAUUACCCUCACUUAGCCAUAGGAGUUUGACAAUGAAAAUGUAGGCGCAACCCCUAGUAUCCAGACUAGGGUGCUGUAAACACCUGAUCGGAUAAGAACCAAUUCGUCGCAUAAUGCAAGAAAAAUCGCUAAAGAUUUGAAACCCCCAAAGAGCUGGCCAGCUCACGCCGCAUUAUGACAGUCAAUUUUCGGCUUGUCUACUGAGGUGCUCAUCCGGAUAAACCAGGCCACAAUCGUAGUAGUUCUCCCUUUACUACCCUAGCCGAUAUAGCGGGACGUAAGGUAGUAAGCACAGGAGCCGGGCAACCCAACUAUUGACCAAAGACAUGAUUCGGAGCCAAUGCAUAUAAUGCUAAAUUCGGGGUGCUGAACUAUACUGUAAAAGUGUUCAUACUUGUUGCCAUAGUGUGGGGCGUAAUAAAGCCCCUGGCGAAUUACAGCAUACCAAGGUGUACAGAUGCAAAUUAAAAUAGCGAAAAUAAAAAAUAAAGAAGAAGCUAGUGCCACAUAUGUUGGGCCGCAAACUGUUUCCAUUAUAAUUUUGAUUAAUACGUCAAAGCGUACUUGAACAAAAAAUGCGAUAAGCAACAGUGGCUAUUUAACAUGCCAAUACCAAGGGGGAGCUGCGUACGGGUCCUGAAAACAGGUAGAAUGAUCGCCAAGAAGGACAUCUAGAGAUUCCCCCGUACGUAUGUGCUACUUGUCACCUUGGUGUAGCCGUCCUUCGAAAAGACCAAUUUAUCAGGCCGUCGAGAGGGGCCUGUGAAAAGAAACCAAAAAAGGGAAAGUAAGCAUAUGUGUGUCCCGGGAAGGUCGAGCCGUAUUGUGGAUCACAAUAUGGUUAUGCCUCCGUCUCUGCCCAUGGUAUUUUUAGUGCGUAGUUAUGUACGCGGGGUACAUAUGCCGCCACUUGGUCGGGACUGAGAUGGAGGUCGAAUUGCUAAUCGAGCCCCCGACGAGCUGGACUGUCCUGCCGCAGAGUAGUCCGGACUCAUUUGACACUGUCCGGGAGCAUGGCCGCCGAAUUAAGGUUCUGCUUGAGAAGGCCGCUCUGUACCUCUGCGGCCAGGGCAGCGGUGUGCUCCUCGGUACGGAGGGAGCACUCCGUGUUUCCAUUGAUUGUUAUGACACCGCCUGGUCCGGGCAUCUUGAGCUUGAGAUAAGCAUAGUGCGGCACCGCAUUGAAUCAGGCAAACACAGUUCGUCCGAGCAGUGCGUGAUAGCCGCUGCGGAAGGGGACGAUGUCGAAGAUUAACUCUUCGCUUCGGAAGUUGUCGUGAGAUCCGAAGACGACCUCCAAUGUGAUUGAGCCCGAGCAGCGGGCCUCUACACCUGGUAUAACUCCUUUAAAGGUAGUUUUGGUGAGCUUGAUCCUUGAUGGAUCGAUGCCCAUUUUGCACACUGUAUCCUGAUAGAGAAGGUUUAGGAUGCUGCCACCGUCCAUGAGGACUCAUGUGAGGUGGAAUCCAUCAAUUAUUGGGUCGAGGAACAGUGCCGCGGAACCGCCAUGACGGAUACUGGUCAGAUGGUCCCUGCGAUCAAAGGUGAUCGGGCAUGAUGACCAUGGUUUGAAUUUUGGGGCGAUUGGCUCUGUCGCGUAGACGUCCCUGAGCACAUGCUUGCGCUCCCCUUGGGGAUAUGGGUAGCGUAUAUCAUGUUCACCAUUUUGACUUGAGGGGGAAACUUCUUUUGUCCCCCUGUGUUCGGUGGACGGGGCUCCUCAUAGUCAUUCUCGCUUUGCGACCCCUUCUCCUUGUCUUCGGCAUUUAACUUGCCGACCUGUUUGAAUACCCAACAACUCUGAUGAGUAUGAUUGGCUGGAUUAUCAGGGGUGCCAUGGAUUUGACAUGGACGAUCGAGUAUGCGGUCCAGGCUGGAAGGGCCUUGAUUAUUCCUUUUAUAUGGCUUCUUCCGCUGUGCAGACUUGGAGCCACUGAAUCUGGCGUUGGCCACCGUGUCCUUGGUAUUAUCACUGUUGCUUUGACGCAUGUGCCUCUUGCGUCGGGGCUUGCCGUUGCUAUUUCUGGUGUCCGAAGUGCCAGGUUCGCUUGCAUUGUUAUUGCUAUAGGCUAGCCAGCUAUCUUCGCCCGCGCAAAAGCGGGUCAUAAGCGCCGUGAGGGCUGCCAUGGACUUCGGCUUUUCUUGGCCGAGGUGUCGAGUGAGCCAUUUGUCCCGUAUGCUCUAUUUAAAGGCCGCUAGGGCUUCGGCAUCCAGACAGUCGACGAUCUGGUUCUUUUUAGUUAGGAACCUAGUCCAGAAUUUCCUGGCUGACUCUCCGGGCUGUUGAAUUAUGUGACUUAAGUUGUCGGCAUCCGGAGGUCGAACAUAUGUACCUUGGAAGUUGUCAAGGAAGGCUUCUUUCAAGUCCUCCCAGCUGCCAAUGGAAUUUUCGGGCAAGCUGUUCAGCCAGUGCCAGGCUGGCCCCUUGAGUUUUAGGAGUCAUAGUCGAGCAUGUCGGUUAGAUUUUCGACAUUGUCUAUUAAGUGGGAGGUGGGUGGGAAGCGAAAUUCCCCGUCAUCAGCCCCCAGCUCAAACCGGAUAUAAUUCGGCAGUGAGUCCCUUGCUAAAGAGAGGGUUUUUAAUGAGUUUAGCACAUCGCCUAAAGGGGAGAGCCGGAAGAUGUCCGCGGAACUGAAUUCGACGACCGGUGCCUGGUAAGGCUCGUCGGACGUGGAUGCAAGAAGUUCGGAACCAGUGACUGGAGAUGAGUCCGGGGGUCCGAUGAUGCAUGCCUCGCCCGAAGUUGGGUCUGUGUACGGCUCCAACGCUGCUGAGUCUGCGGCUUCCAUGGCGGGGUUAAGCUUCCCAUCUUCGGAUGGCGCAAGCUGCUCCGAAUCCAGGGCCGGAGCGCUUACAGGCGCAAUCUCCUCUACAUGGUCCGAUGACAGAUUUAGGUCAUGUUCAUCAUGGUGGCAUGGAGCGGCUGCCAUGGGCUCAAAUCCGUCGAAGAUCAAGUCUCCGCGGAUAUCAGCGAUGUAGUUCAAGCUUCCAAACCUGACCUGACGGCCAGGGGCGUAGCUGUCGAUCUGCUCUAGAUAGCCAAGCGAGUUGGCCCGCAGUGUGAAGCCGCCGAAAACGAAUAUUUGGCCAGGGAGAAAGACAUCCCAAUGGCAGCGUUGUUGUAGAUGAUGGGUGGGGCCAUCGAACCUUCUGACGACGGCACAACAGAACUCUCAAUGAAAGCACCAAUGUCAGUGUCAAAACGGGCGGAUCUCGGGUAGGGGGUCCCGAACUGUGCGUCUAAGGUUGAUGGUAACAGGAGACAUGGGACACGAUGUUUACCCAGGUUCGGGCCCUCUCUAUGGAGGUAAUACCCUACUUCCUGCUUGAUUGAUCUUGAUGAAUAUGAGUAUUACAAGAGUUGAUCUACCUCGAGAUCGUAAUGGCUAAAACCCUAAAAGUCUAGCCUAUAUGAUUAUGAUUGUCCCUAUGAACUAAACCCUCCGGUUUAUAUAGACACCGGAGGGGACUAGGGUUGUAGAAAGUCAGUUACAGAGAAAGGAAUCUUCAUAUCCGAACGCCAAGCUUGCCAUCCACACCAAGGAGAGUCUUCGGUCUUGUAUCUUCGUAGCCCAUCAGUUUGGUCCAUGUCCAACAGGCCGGACGCUCGAGGACCCCUUAGUCCAGGACUCCCUCAGCAGCCGCGCUCAAGCCUCCACCAACCCUCCUCUUUCCCAUAUAACCUACGUCCUAGACCGGGUAGGGUCCUAGCUCCUGCCAAUUUGGUAUCAGAGCGCUUGGGUCCGAUCAUGUCUGCACCACCACCCACCCCACCGCUACCCACCUCGCCGCUGCCCAUCACCACCGCAUUGCCAAUUCUCUCCAUCGUGUCGCUCGCCCUCUCAACCGCGCCGCUGUAUCUCCCCACCGUGCCGAUCGAUACCACCACGGGCGCCGCCGUCGGCGAGACACCGCCCUCCACUGCGCCGCCCGCUGCAGUCUACUCCCCGACAGAGAUCACUGGGGUCCUCUAUGAUCUCGUCACCGCCGUCCAGGGGUAUGGCUAUACCUGGCCAGCCCCUACGGGUCGCCGCUACCCUUGCCGCCGGCGGCCGCGACCGGGCCGGCCGCCCUGCCAUGGUACUCGGCACUCGUGGUGCUUGCAGGGCCCCUCCACCACCACUGGCCGCUGCAGCCACCGCUCGCCGCUGCACCACAAUGGCCGCAGUGGCCGGCGCCGGCUGGCGCCGCGCCACCCACGCCGCCAUUGUCGGCCCCGCCACCACCCAGCACUGGGCCCGGGUCAACCAUGGAGGGAGGCGUGCCAAUCCAGCAAGUCCGCUUCCCGCCAUCGCUGUCCCCAAUUCUGGCCUGGCUGACCGGAUCAUCACUGUCGUCCGUCUACACGUCGGCUGUGGACCCGCCGGUGCCCACUCUGUAGUACAGCGACCCAUCCAGCUCCGUGGGUCACUACGUGGGCCGCGCCAGCACUGACCGGGCAUCCCCAGCCUCGCUUCUCCACACCUCCGAGCUAGUUGUCCACAUCGCUCCAACCCAGAGGCCGCCACGGUUCGCCAAAAUUGAUUUCGCCACUUAUGACGGCACGGAGGACCCCCUCAACUGGCUCAACCAAUGCGAGUAGUUCUUUCGCGGGCAGCGCACCCUAGCAUCGGAGCACACCUGGCUCGCCUCUUACCACCUCCGCGGCACGACACAACCAUGGUAUUACACCCUCGAGUAGGACGAGGGCAAUAUGACUCCUUGGGAGCGCUUUCACGAGCUCUGCCUCCUUUGCUUUGGGCCACCGUUCUGCGGGAGCCGCCUGGUAGAGCAAGGCCACCUUCCCUUCACCUCCACGGUGCAGGACUUCACCGACUGGUUCCAGGCCCUGGCAUGCCAUGCGUCGGGCAUGACGGCGCAUCAGCAGACCGACCUCUUCGUUGGUGGACUUCCAGAUCACAUCCACGUUGACGUGGAGCUUCGGGGACCCUAGGAUCUCCAGACGGCCAUGUAUUACGCGUGCGCCUUCGAGUGUCGCGCCCAGGCCAUGCAGCAUGUGGCCCCUGCUCGAGGAGGCUGACAGGCCGCCAGGUAGCCCCCUGCAUGGGGCCGGCCACCCCCGGCCGCUCCGGCGACUACAACCCCAGCCGCGACGCGGCCCUUCCGUCGUCUCUACCAGUUUGAGCAGCUAGAGUAUCGGCGCUGAUGAUCCACAAGUGUAGGGGACCUAUCGUAGUCCUUUUGAUAAGUAAGAGUGUCGAACCCAACGAGGAGCAGAAGGAAAUGAUAAGCAGUUUUCAGUAAGGUAUUCUCUGCAAGCACUGAAAUUAUCGGUAACAGAUAUUUUUGUGAUAAGGUAAUUUGUAAUACGUAACAAAUAGUAAAAGUAAAUAAGGUGCAGCAAGACAGCCCAAUCUUUUUUGGCAAAGGACAAGCCUGGACAAACUCUUAUAUAAAGGAAAACGCUCCUGAGGACACAUGGGAAUUAUCGUCAAGCUAGUUUUCAUCAUGUUCAUAUGAUUCGCGUUCGGUACUUUGAUAAUUUGAUAUGUGGGUGGACCAGUGCUUGGGUACUGUACUUCCUUGGAUAAUCAUCCCACAUAUGAUUAACCCCUAUUGCAAGCAUCCGCAACUACAACAAAAGUAUUAAGGUAAACCUAACCAUAGCAUGAAACAUAUGGAUCCAAAUCAGCCCCUUACGAAGCAACGCAUAAACUAGGGUUUAAGAUUCUGUCACUCUAGCAACCCAUCAUCUACUUAUUACUUCCCAAUGCCUUCCUCUAGGCCCAAACAAUCAUGAAGUGUCAUGUAGUCGACGUUCACAUGACUCCACUAGAAGAGAGACAACAUACAUCUCAUCAAAAUAUCGAACGAAUACCAAAUUCACAUGACUACUUAUAGCAAGACUUCUCCAUUGUCCUUAGGAACAAACUUAACUACUCACAAAGCAUAUUCACGUUCAUAAUCAGAGGGGUAUUAAUAUGCAUAAUGGAUCUGAACAUAUGAUCUUCCACCAAGUAAACCAACUAGCAUCAACUACAAGGAGUAAUCAACACUACUAGCAACCCACAGGUACCAAUCAGAGGCUUUGGGACAAAGAUUGGAUACAAGAGAUGAACUAGGGUUUGAGAUGAGAUGGUGCUGGGGAAGAUGUUAAUGGAGAUUGACCCCCUCCCGAUGAGAGGAUUGUUGGUGAUGACGAGUGUGAUGAUUUCCCCCUCCCGGAGGGAAGUUUCCCUGGCAGAAUAGCUCCGUCGGAGCCCUAGAUUGGUUCCGCCUUAUGGCGGCGGAGUUUCGUCCCAUGAGCUUGCUUAUGAUUUUUUCUCAACGGAAGACUCCAUAUAGCCAAAGAUGGGCAUCAGAGGGCCACCAGGGGGCCCACGAGGCAGGGGGCGUGCCCAGGGGGGUAGGGCACGCCCCCACCCUCGUGGACAGUGGGUGGCCCCCCUCUGGUAGUUCUUUCGCCCAAUAUUUUUUAAUAUAUUCCGAAACAUGCUCCUGUGAAGUUUCAGGACUUUUGGAGUUGUGCGUAAUAGGUAUCUAAUAUUUGCUCCUUUUCCAUCCCAGAAUUCCAGCUGCCGGCAUUCUCCCUCUUCAUGUAAAUCUUGUAAAAUAAGAGAGAAUAUGCAUAAGUAUUGUGACAUAAUGUGUAAUAACAGCCCAUAAUGCAAUAAAUAUCAAUAUAAAAGCAUGAUGCAAAAUGGACGUAUCAACUUCCCCAAGCUUAGACCUCGCUUGUCCUCAAGCGAGAGCCGAAAUCGAAAAAUAUGUCCACAUGUUUAGAGAUAGAGGUGUCCAUAAAAAUAAAAUACGGACAUGAGGGCAUCAUGAUCAUUCGUAGAACAACAACAUAUAUAUAUAUAUAUAUAUAUAUAUAUAUAUAUAUAUAUUAUCAUAUGAUCUCUUAUGCUAAAGUAAUGAUUCAAUCACAAAUUCAAGUAUGAAUCAUAAACUUCAUUGAGAACCAACAAACUCUAAUCUCAGUCAUUGAGGCAAUUGUGAUUUAUCAUAACAUCAGAAAGAGUCAAUAAGAGCUUUUAUACAAGUCCACAUACUCAACCAUCAUUUAGUCUUUCACAAUUGCUAACACUCAUGUGAUAUUUAUGGUUAUGAAGUUUUAAUCGGACACAGAGAAAGAUAGGGGCUUAUAGUUUUGCCUCCCAACCUUUUACCUCAAGGGUAAUGUCGGUGUCAAAACCGGCAGAUCUCGGGUAAGGGGUCCCGAACUGUGCGUCUAGGCCGGAUGGUAACAGGAGGCAGGGGACACGAUGUUUUACCCAGGUUCGGGCCCUCUUGAUGGAUGUAAAACCCUACCUCCUGCUUGAUUAAUAUUGAUGAUAUGGGUAGUACAAGAGUAGAUCUACCACGAGAUCAGAGAGGCUAAACCCUAGAAGCUAGCCUAUGGUAUGAUUGUAUGUUGUCCUACUGACUAAAAUCCUUCGGUUUAUAUAGACACUGGAGAGGGUUAGGGUUACACAAGGUCGGUUACAAAGGAGGAGAUAUCCAUAUACGUAUUGCCUAGCUUGCCUUCCACGCCAAGUAGAGUCCCAUCCGGACACGAGACGAAGUCUUCAAUCUUGUAUCUUCAUAGUCUAACAGUCCGGCCAAUGGAGAUAGUCCGGCUAUCCAGAGACCCCCUAAUCCAGGACUCCCUCAGUAGCCCCUGAACCAGGCUUUAAUGACGAUGAGUCCGGCACGCAGUAUUGUCUUCGGCAUUGCAAUGCGGGUUCUUCUCCGAAUACAUCACAGAAGAAUUUGAAUACGAGGAUAGUGUCCGACCCUGCAAAAUAAGUUCCACAUUCCACCGUAGAGAGAAUAAUAUUUUCGCAGAUCCAAUUUGCUGGCUUGUUUUAGCAGCAUGACAUUAUGUCAUGGCCCGGUGAUUAUUCGAACCGUUUCUUUUAACCAGCCUCACACAUAAUGCGAGGCAGUUUUUCGACACGUCUUGUCAAAGCAGAGAUCGUGUCCCCUUAUCACGGGAUUCUCAUCAAUACAGGCGUGGGUAACCCAACAGCGCCAUCAAUUGCGGCGCUUGGGGGAUAAGCGAGUUUUACCAGGCAAGUGGGGACGCUUAGUUUCAUUCGCUCAUAUAAAGGGAUAAGGAUUCACCUUUCAAUCCACGCCUUCUUCCUCCUUUGCUCAUCCGUUUUCGCACACUCGAGCUCUAGCGCCCAAGUCCACACUUCCACCUCAACCUUCUCCAACCAUGUCCGGAGCGGGAGGCAAGUGGAUGGUCUCCUCCGUCACGGAGGGAGACAUCAAGAAACUGAGGAGAGCCGGAUACCUACCCGACGACAUCGCGCACCAGCUCCCAGAUGAGGGGCAGCUCAUCCCCACCCCCAGGCCCCAUGAGAGGGUAGUAUUCCUCACACAUUUCCUCCAUGGACUGGGAUUCCCUCUCCAUCCCUUCGUUCGGGGGCUCAUGUUUUAUUACGGCCUAGAUUUCCACGAUCUGGCCCCGAACUUCAUCCUCAACAUCUCGGCGUUUAUCAUCGUGUGCGAGGCCUUCCUCCGCAUCAGGCCCCACUUUGGCUUAUGGCUGAAGACAUUCAACAUCAAGCCGAAGGUGGUGGUCGGCCGCCAGGCGGAGUGCGGAGGCACCAUGGUGGGCAAGAUGCCCAACGUAACAUGGCUCGAGGGCUCCUUUGUGGAAACCAUAAAGGGGUGGCAAUCGGGGUGGUUCUAUAUCACCGAGCCGCGUGACCCUGCAUGGGCAGCGGCCCCCGAGUUCCGAUCUGGCAUCCCCACACGGCUCACCUCCUGGAAAGAGAAGGGCCUGUCCUGGGGUAAUUCGAAAGAGCUGACUGGACUCCAAACAUGUAUUCAAAACAUGCUGCUGGACAAGAAGCUCAAGCUUGUCAACAUAGUCCAAGUUAUGCUCAUCCGCCGGAUACUCCCGUGCCAACAACGGGAGUUCAACUUGUGGGAAUUCAAUCCGGCGCAGCACCGAACUCUGAACAGGCUCUUCGACACGACUCAUGAAGACGCCUGGAGGGUGUUGUUCAAAAGCGCCAAGGUCCCCCCCUAUUACUGAGGAUCGCGGAUUCAGCACGAAGCGCCAAGCCAGUGUGGUAAGCUGCUUUACCUUUCACAGGAUACUUAUUUUUUAUAUAGAUGGACUCUAUGCGGGAUCUAAACUCCCGUACCUUUGAUAGGAUUGGCAGAAGAUGGCCGGACAGAUCGACUGUCCGGCUCCUUUGCCCGAAGGCCCCGCAGACGCUCUUCUCGCGAAGAUGCUGACUCCGGCCCCUUAUAAGGUGCCGGACAAGACCAAGAAGGCCAAGGGAACCCGAAAGAGUUCCUGACGCCAGGCGUCGUUGGACUCAUCGUCCGAUGACUCUGCGGUGCACUCUUCCCCCGAAGACGAGGAAGAAGAAGAUGAUGCUCCCCCACAGACUGGGGGAGACAAGAAAAGGAAGGCCGCCCCUACUGGGGAGGCCGGGGGGUCCAAGAAGGGAAGGAAUCUUCUUCCGGACAGUUCCACCGCCACCGACGAAGGCAAAGACGAGUGGUUGCCCAGGGUCAAGCCCCGGGGAGAUUGUAAGUACUCGGAUACCAGAGUAACUCAUAGGAUUCCUUUAUCGCACUGCUUUCCCUAAUCGCCGAACAUGAUUAUGCAGGCCGCCACGAGCCAAUAUCGAGGUAUCAUCGGACGGCUCCCUAGGCUAGUUGGACAUGGAUAGCGAUCCGGUCCCGACCGCCACCUCCCCUCAUCCUGCCGACGACGCUGAGGUGUUGUCUCAAGAGGCAUCGGAUCGAAGGGAGACAGUACCGGAGGCGCCCCAAGGCGACCUUUCGGACUCCGGGAGCCGAGGGGAUGGGGCCCUCGAGAGCUCCGAGUUCGGCCCUCAGCCGAACACCGUGCCGGACCCUCCAGCGGUUCCGGGCUCGGGAAGGCAGCCUCCUUCUAAGAGGGGCAAGAUGCCUAUGCCGGUGACCUCUGUCCAUCCAGAGGCAUCGGACAAUCUGCUGGAAGCUCUUCGCAGCGCUUCCAUCGACGAGGAGCACCGCACUAUCAUGAGUGCGGUGAUCCAGAAGGUUUGGUCCGCCAAGAGCGGAUUGACUGAAGCCUGUGCCAGCCUUCUAACAGGCUUCGAGGUAAGUGUUUUAAAAUGUAGUAGAAAUAUUACCGCAUAGACAGUAGCCCCUGAUGCUUUGUUCGGUGUUCACAAAGAAAAGCCGAACAGAGGAUCAAAUAAUAUCGCAGGAGUCUAAUAUAAGUAUGUCAAUAUGCAUAUGCAGGCUUCACUGCUGGCGUCCGCCGCACUGACUGCGGAGGUCGCCGUACUGAAGCAGGCCCUCGAGGGGUCCCGGAAAGAGCUCGGCCUUGCUAAGAGGCAGCUCGAGGAGAACAAGGGUAAGUAAUACCCCGUCUAUAGAUAUGUAUAUAUAUAUAAAAAGGACGCGAAUGGCCAAAUGACAGGAUCAUUGUAUGUUUGUCAGGGGCCACGACCGAGGUGGCGACCCUGAGGCAAGCGCUAACCCAGGCCGAAGAUAAAGCGGCCCAGGAGCGCACCGAGCGAGAGAAGCACGAGGCUCGGGUGGGCGAGGUGCAGCAAGAGCUCCAGGCUCUCAUGACGAAGCAUGAGGCAUUGGAGCUUGACUCCAAGACGUGGGAGUUUGAGCUUGCCGCGGCCCUCGAGAGCGCAAAAAGUGCCAAGGCCGAAGCCCAAAAGGCCCUCCAAGAGAUCGACGCGAUGAAGAAGAUAGCGGCGGGUAAGGCUUUCUAUAUGCAAAGCAAGCAUGUAAAAGUAAAUUACCGAUUACUUACCCGGAUCCGGAGCUCUUCAGGAGCAUUCGCAGAUUUACCCUGCAGUGUGUCCGAUGCCGCGCAAUUUUACCAGGCCGAGGAUGGAAGCUCGACGGAGAAGCUGUUCUGGUCUCAGUAUGCUGAGGCCGAACAUGUGGUGCCGAUGAGCGACCAGCCGAAGCAGAUGGUCGAGCUACAUAAGGCGGUUGAUCAGGCCAUGAAGGGCUUUAUAGUCCGGCUAUGGCCUGGCGACGCCCUUCCAAACAGCUUCUUCGGCCUGGUGAGGCGGCUUGUGGAUACCCACCCACGGUUGGAGGUCGUCAAGCGAUCCGUCUGCAUUGAAGGUGCACGCCGGGCUUUUGCCCGUGUGAAAUUGUAGUGGGUCAAGCUAGACGUCGUGAAGCUGAUCAAGGAGGGGCCGCCGGAGGGCAAGGAGCACCGCCACCCUGAGAUGUACUACGAGGGUGUUCUGUCGGGUGCCCGUCUCAUCGUGGAUGAGUGCCCAAAAGAUGUAAUAUUUGAAUGAGACUUGCUCGUGUGAUCCUGUAUGAUGAAAACUUGUUUCAUAUGCGCUAUGCAACGCUUGUUUGAAUUUGAAAUAUUACCUUAUGUUUGGCCGUUUAUCCAAUAUGAGAGAUGGCUAGUCCUCGGCUUCUGCCCCCAUGCCGCUAGUGCUGGGGUGUUCGGGAUAAACCUGAGCACUCUUUUCCAUAUUUGGGUCCUUCGAGGGAGGUACUCAGCACAACGAACAAGGCAACCAGACUAAUAAUGCUUUAUCACUCUGACUUAGCCAUAGAAUUCUAUAAUUUUAAAUUUCGGCGAAGCCCCUGGUAUUCGGAAGGCCGAAUUCGGGGCGCGAUACACGCCUGUAAACCGGACAGGGCCGGCCCCUCGCCCUAAGCGGGAUAAGUCUUUAGGGACUCAAAAAAAAA
rnacentral:lncRNA from 1 species